UCCUUUACUAAUGAAUGAUUUCACUACCACAUAUUAUACUAUUAUAAAAUAAUAGAAAUUCAUAUUGAUUCAUAUUGAAAAGCUGCAUAAAAUCAAACAAAGUUGUAGCGCUAUAUACUAUAUUCAACAAAAUAAGAUACACUUAAUUAUAAUUAUUACAUUUUCAACUGCAUGUAUCUCGAAUUGUACUGUAUUUACAAUUACCUGAAACCAAAUGGUCCCUUAGCUCAAAGAGUUGAUACAACCUUUUUACUUUUAGAAAAGACUUUCCACUUUCAUGAUUCUAAUAUUUCAAAAUAAGUUUCCGGGUGGGAAAUAUUUUUAUACUAAUAGAUGUGGAUUUAUGAACAUAAUAUUGUGAUGUGAUAAUUGCAUAUGGUUUGUAUAUGUAUGCGGUUGUAUCUUGUACUUGUGCGAUGCCUAGCAAAUACAGAGGAGACUCUGUCCGCGUAAACAGUGGGUUUCCUAUAUUUGUGGCGUGUCGAGCAUUCCCUGAGGUCAAGAAUAAAAAAAAAAAAAAAAAUUGGACACUUCCGCAUCAAUUCUUAACUUAAAAGGGACUUCGGGGCGUAACAAAUUAAAGUUUUAGUUACGAGCAAUAUUACUAGCACUCUCCAAAGUGAAAUAUACAUCUCACAUCCUUCUCAUCUAAGAGACUAAGAUCCAUCAUUCUCUACUUGUCACAUUAAAUAUAUUUUUUUAACCAACAGUCAUCUAGAUUUUUAUAAACUCUAGAAUAAGGGGUGCGAUAUCUUUAACCCUUUUGAGGUAUACAAGUAAAAUUUUCUUUUAGUUACAAAAAUUGAUAACAUAAGUGAGUUUAUGCAGACCAAAAAAAACUAUGGGUGUAAAAUUUAUAUUUCCGAAUAGAGUGUAUGAGUUAUAUUACUUAGCUCUUAAUUUUAAGGAUGUAAGAUUUACAUUGUAAGAGUGUACAAGUAACAUUUUCAAAAUUUAAACCACAAAAUGGUGAAGUGAAAAUUUUUGUUUUUUGUUUUUUUUUUUUUUACUCUUAAUUGGGCAAAGAAAAAGCACUUUUAACUUUUAAGCUGUUGGAGCGAAAAGCUGUUGCCUGUUUCCUUCCCCGCAUCCGAUCCCAGCUCCGCCGCCAAAAAGGCUAAAACCAAACCGAGCGCUCUCUUUCUCUCUCUCUCUCUCUCUCUCGUGCUCUCAAAAACCCUUUUCCUUUUCCUCUCCCACCUCCUCCUCCGCCUGUUCGAAACCCCUCCUCCUCCUCCUCCUCCUCCUCCUCCUCAUAUACGAAGGGGAUCUCCACGGAGUUCGACCCCGCUCCACCCUCCUCUAGUAGGGCUCGGCCGCGGCGGACGAAACCCUAGCUCUCCCCUCCCUAUGGAUCGCCACCGCGGAGACCGCGCCGGCGACGGGCCGAGGCACUCCAAGGCGCCGUCCCGGUGGUCCUCAUCCGGGAGCCCCACUAACCAGAGCCACCGGUACCCCCGCGGCGGCGGUGGCGGCGGAGGCAACGGAGGUGGAGUAGGCGAGGGUUUCUCCUCCUCCGGCCCCGGCGGCGGAGGCGGUGGAGGGCGGUACCAUCCGUAUCGGGGUCCGCAGGAGUACCCUCCCCCCGGCGGCGGCGGUGGAAGGUUCCGCGGCGGCGGCGGCGGCGGCGGCGGGCCCGGGGCAAGUCCGGGCGGCUUCGGUGCCCCCCCCAUGCAGAUGCCUGGUGCCAGGCAUGGGUUUUCCGGUAGAGGGGGUUCUCCAGGUAGGUUGCUUUUCUUCUUUUUAUUUGUUUAAAUCUUUUAUGAUGUGAUUUGAUUUGAAACACUUAGGCUGAUUUUGAAUGUCAAUUAAAAAAUAAAAUGAGUAAAUUUGUUGGAUUUAAAUGUUUAUUUGUUGUAAAGUUCUCUCUUUUAUGUCAAAUUUCCAUGAGGAUUGCUUGUACUUUAACCAGUUAGCGUUAACAUGGUCUCAUGAUUGGUUUGGAAUUUAAUCAACCUUCUAGUUGUUAUGCCAAAGCAAAGUGAGGCAAGAGAAUGAUUUAGUGUACAACCUCCAGGAGCCAACUUGGCUGUUAGAAACAAUGUGCAAUUAUUUUGCAUUGUAGCUCAUUGUGAUGUAGAAGAGACCUGCUAAGAUUCCUCCAGAUACGAAAAAUGCCUAAGGAGAAAGAUGAUGCCUUUAAUGUAGGGAAAUUGUUUACGCAAGUCCAAGGAAGCAUAGAAAUAUGUCAUUACAUUUUGUGUUUACAGGAAGAGAACUGUUCCAUAGUUCUACAACUCGACAAUCAUGACAGUAAGAUGGUAGUGAAACAUCUCCUUGCAUAAAAAUGCCAACUUGAGCUACUGUUGUGUGCAAAAUUUAGUCGAUAGUGUUAUGGCAGGCUUUAUGUCGGUCCUUUUCUUGUAAAGGUAUUUUAGAGAUCUAGAAUUAUCAGAUAUAUAUUGAAGCUUUUUGAGUUCUUAAAUUUCUCAUUUUCCCUAACAUCUUACAAGAUAAUUUGGUUUAUGCCAAGGUACUUGUAACUUUGUAAGUGAUAUUGUUUCAACUUUUUAUUGCGAAAAAUUAAGUUUCGUGAGUAUAUUAAAAUGAAUUAAACUUUAUGUAUGCUAUUUAAUCACUUGUAGAAACUUGUUUAUGUGUUACGUUUGAGCCUUUAGUCCGUAUAAGCAUAUUUUAACUGUUGUUGUUUGUCGUCGUUACUCAUAAUUGUGGAUGUUUUGCACAAUGUUCAGAUCAUAAUGAUGGGAGCCACUUCGUUAAACUUUUUAUUGGUUCAGUUCCAAGAACUGCAACUGAAGAAGAGGUGAGUAGUAUCUUCUGUCUUCCCAAGUCCUUUUUCGUUUUCAUCUUUACCUCAAUUUUCUGUAGUGUUUAUUUUCUCCCAUUGUUCUUCCUAUCAAUAGAUUGUAGUGUUAUAGGUUUUUUUUUUUUUUGCUCGAGAGUUCUUGCUGAAAUUUGGAUAUGGUCGAGGGUCAGCAUAUAGCUUGUCUUUUUCAUUAAUGUGGAAACUAAAGAGAAACAUGUAAGGACGACAACGGAUGUGGUGAUAAAAUAGGCUUCCUAAUCAGUGAAUGCAGGUAAAGAAGUAAGUUCUUGAUGACAAAAUUCACUCAAGAAUAGUCAAGCGUUCCCCUUAUCUUACUAGGCAGUAGGCACCGGAUCUUAAUGGGCAGUGUAUGUUCCAUUAUCUUGACGACAUUCGCUGAUUCCUUGUGGUAGCUUUCUUGAGAUAAUAAUGUGAAAGUUCCCCCCCAUGCCAUCAGCUAUUACUUUUAUGAUCUAAAUGCUUGGGUUUACUAAGGUUUGCAUGUGCUGACUAUCUGAAGUCUGAAAGUAACUAUAUGUUCAAUAAUCCAUUUGCUCGUUUGGCACCUAAUUAUCUCAAGAAAAAUCUGUAAGAGUUUAUGGUACGAAACUCAAUCCUUGUAUAGCUCUCAUGGGUCUUAUUCCUGAGUUUACAUAUAAAUGCAAACACAAGCUUGAGAGUUCAUUUAAACUUAGAAUGUCCACAAAAGACAAUUGGGAGUCAACAUGGAAAAUGAUAAUUAUGCAGCUUCAAUAUCCUGAGACAACUAGGUUUGUUUAAGCUGAAAAGCUUCAUGUUUGAAAGAUAUGACAUGUUAACUUCAAAAAUAAGAAAUUGUAGAUUGAAAGCGAGUUCGAAUAACUUUGGAAAACUAAUUGUAUUAGCAUGCAAGAGAAAUGUCAACUUGUGAUUGAAUCUGAAAUUAUUACCUGAAGGAGAUUCAAGUUUUGAGAAGAAGAGGAUGAUUACUCACAGGGGAUUAGAGUAUUUACUCCAUGCGGACAAACUAGAAGUCCUUAAAAGGAUUCAUUUAUUCUCCUUUCCCGUUAUUUUGUUCUUCUUUACUGAUUCAUAUCUGGUUAUGAUUGCUCUUCUUUAGUAAAUUUUAGUCAAAUGCCACAAUUAGUUUAUUAGAACAAAGCCAUUACAUAUUUACUUGUCCAAUUUUACUACAAUUAUUGCUAGUGCCGAAGUUCAUCUUCAACUAGAUUUUUUUUUUUUUUAAGUACAAAUCUGAAUAGAAGUGUUUGUGCAUACUUUGGACAUUAUGAUAAAAACUUGCCAACUAACUUGAGUGGUAGCAUUCUAACUUUAGUCGGUCUAUAAUCAAAAUUGAGGCUGGUCAUUUGAGGAUGAACUUCUUAUACUGAAAGGUAUUAUCUUUAUAUUAUUCUCUUUUUGUGCCUAUAGGAAUUUCAACGGGUUGGUUCUUAAUUGCAUUAGCCUAAAUUGUAAUAACUGUGGUAUAUAAAACAACUAUAAACAGCAGUUGGAUCUACAGAUUUGUUGGCAACUUCCUCUUAUGCCAGCAUAUGCUUUGGUGUGGAUCGUGAGGCCAUUUUCAGAGACUUUGGUAGCCACUUAUAAAGUCUUUCAUGAGACUUGUCAAAUUAAAGUUGUGUUGCAGCUAACCAUUAUUGUUGGAAAAGGUUUGUGUGAUGGAUAAAAUUAUCGUAAUGAUGAUGACUAGGAUGAUCAUGAGUUCAACAUCAAUGAAGGCUCUACAAAGGAUAUACAAUCUAACAUGAUAGUGCUUCAAGUCCAACUAUCUAUACAAGAAGAUAUAUAUAAUGAUGACGACAAGGAUGAUCAUGAGUUCAACAUCAAUGGAGGCUCUAUAAAGGAUAUAUAAUUAACAUGAUAGUGCUUCGAGUGCAACUAUCUGUACAAGAAGAUAUAUAUGAGGGAGGGAGAGAGGGAGGGAGAUGCAUAGGAUUUACUAUGUGGUGGUGGUGGUACUAUUAUGGAUCGAAGAGCUAACAAAUUGAUAGUAUAGAGAGAGAGCUUCAUAAUGAUGACCAGAAGGAUGAUCAUGAUUUCAACAUCAAUGAAGGCUUUAUAAAGGUUAUACAAUUAACAUGAUAGUGCUUCGAGUGCAACUAUCUGUACAAGAAGAUAUAUAUGAAGGAGGGAGAGAGGGAGGGAUGGAGGGAGAUGCAUAGGAUUUACUAUGGUGGUGGUAUAAAUUUUAGAGAGAGAGAGAACUGAAUCUCUUUCUCUCUCUCUAUAUAUACAUACACACACACACACAUACAUACAUACAUAUAUAUGCCUGUUUGAAUUUUGUAAUAUGUCAAAUGAUUGCUUUAAACAUCUAUUAUUGUACGCUUGACCUUUUAUUCAUACUUUUUCAAUCAUUUCAUUUAGCAAUUGCAAAAUCCUGCUAUUUUCUUAUCUUGUUAUUUUUUUAAUAAGACCUUGAAGAAGUUCAUUGAUAUCUAUUGAUUAUGACCCAAGCUUUCUGUUCUCGGUUCUCAUCUUGUUUAUUGUGUGCUUGACUUAUCACAGCAGAUUUUAUGGAUUGUGUCAUGUAAUAAGUGCCACUAAAAUAUACUUUUCAGAUUCGGCCCUUGUUUGAGGAACAUGGUGAUGUUAUUGAAGUGGCUUUAAUCAAAGAUAAGAAGACCGGACAGCAACAAGGUAUGUUAUAAAUGUUUUUCGUAUUCCGUUGUGUCAUCUAUUCUCUCUCUUUUCAGGUCAGUUGAGGGAUGACAGGAGCUAUAAGGUUACAUCUCCUCUCAUUAGGUUUUGGAACAAUUGUCAUCAGUUGUAGAUUUUUCUUCCUGUUAAUCCAGUGGAAGACCUGAUCAUGGAAAGGUUGAAAGUUGACUGAUCGUAGCACUUAAAUCAAGAUCACUCUAUUACUAGUCAUUGCUGCUGGGCUUUCACCAGCAUCAAGCAAGUUGAUAACAUUGGGUUAGAUACAUUAAGUUUUCUAGAAUUCAUAUUUGAUAGUGUUUGGUCCUCCGCAUUAGCAUGUGACUAAAAGCGGAUAUCAUGUUUCUGCAAAAUGCUGAACACUGGAGUAGAAACUUGAUGAGAUUGUUUAUCUCAUAAUUACAUCUUUAUGGUCAAGAGAUUUCAUUUCAUUCUCUCAAUGGCUUGAGAUUUCAUGAUUGCUCUUGUUAAUGUUGGAUGAUUUUGAAUGGUCUUCAGUUCUUGAUCUCACAUGGUAUGGCACUUCCUUUUGCUGAACUGUAUGUUCUUUGUAUAUCUGGAUGCCAGUUUUCUAUAUGGAUGUUUUAAGGCAUUCCUUUGUUGAAAGGUUGGAAACCAUUUGGAUUACAUGCUCAUGCAUGAGCUGCUCUCCCGUUGUGUUUCUACCCUUUACUGCCUUGUGUUUGCCUCUUCUUGGCGUAGUCAUGGAUAUUUUGUGCGCAGUGAAUGUGGUAUUAAUCUCGUUGGGUUUUGUGUGAAUGGAUUUGCGAGUCUGUGGUGUUUUACUUCAUGGACUGGACGAGAAUGGAGGACUUGCGUGCUUGAUCCAUUAUCGAAUUAAUCUAUAGAUGAUGUGUUUUCUGUGCUUAUGUGGUGUUGGAUGAGACUUCCAUUUAAACGCUGUAUUCAUUAUAUAACUUUUUGUUGAAUGUGGUGUCUGGUAAGUGCUAACAUUUAAACCCUAGGUGCUAACAUUUCCUAUUCUCUGUGAGACAUCUGAAAAUGAGCCCAUUCGUUUUAGUUGGUUUUUUGUUGCCCAAAUCAUAUGCAGUUCAAUAGAACUGUCAUUAGCACUUGAACUUCUAAUUGGGGUUGGUGUAUGACGAAUUUCUUAGUUGUAUAAUACUUCAAGAUAGUGACGGCAUGAUGUUACUCUAUUGUGUCUUUCUUGUGUGAUGUGGAAAUGCUCUUUUUGGAUGAGAAUUCAAUUUAAAUGGCCGUAUUCAGUGCAGAACUUUUUGUUGAAUGUUGUGUCUGGGAAGUGCUAACAUUUCUUUUUCUUGGUUGAGACAUCUGAAAAUGAGCCCAUUUGUUGGAGUUGAGAUUUGUUGCCUAAAUCAUAUGCAGUUCAACAGAACUGUAAUUAGCACUUCUAAUCUUGGUUGAUGUAUGACUAAUUUCUUAGUUGUUUAACACUUAAAGAUGGUGAUGGCAUGAUGUUACUCUAAUAGUGUUGGAUAUUUGUGUGAUGUGGAAAUGCUCAAAUGUGUUACACAUCUUUGACUUUCAACUUUAACUUUUCAGGCUUCUUUUAGUGAAAGGUGGGUAGUGAUUAACUUGUGAAUCUUCUGCUGUUUGAUAAUGGAUGUCUUAGUUCAAGUUUAGAUAAUGUUAUUGUGCUUACUUUUGUGAGAAUUGAGAAUGAUAUUGUGGAUCAUUCGUGUAUCUUGGCGUGAUGAAAAUCUGCUGCUACCGACAACUGCAGUUGGUUAUUAUUUUCCGGGCAUAAGCCAAUGCUAUUGUAGAUCUGUUCCCAGUGUCUACAUUUUCUUUUGACACUUCCAUGUUGCAUGUGAGCAAUGUCUCUGUUUUGGACUGCGUUCUCUAAUAAGUGGACACAUCCUUGGUCUGCUGUUUUACAAGAUUAAGUGCUCUGCUGUCCUCUUACUGGAUGUGUUUGUAGUACAUGUUUGCAUUUUAAAAUUGACUGGUAUAGGACUGAGGCAAGCACAAAUGUGACUUGUGAUAUCGGUCCUUAAACUCUUGUUAAGGGGCUCCCUAGUUCUCUGGAAAAUUUUGAGUUCCAUUGCAGUUGUUUUUACAUUCUGAAGUAAAUUUGAUUUUGGUUUGUUAGGUUGUGUGACAAUUUUGUUCUUUGUUCCCUUUUUUGCAAUUUUAUAUCGUUAGAACUUUUAUUGUGUUUCACUCUUUGGGAACAGAUUAUGCUAUUUAGUCUUUGGUUGUUCUUACAUGUUUGAAGAUCAUUUCAGCUUUAGAUAUUUUGAUUUGAGUUGCUCUAGGAUAUACUGAAUAUGUACUCGACCGACUAAGGAUCAUAAGGAUAUUGACUUUGGUGCCUUUUCAGGUCGCCUAUUGUUAUUUUAUCAGGUUUGAAUCUUUCAAUUGAAUGAACUGAGGAUAUAGAUCAGAUUGUCAAUGAUGAUGAAACUUGUAAAUGGCUGAAUAGUAUACAAGCUUCCAAAGAACGUGCUCUAAUGCAUAACAACAUCUCCUUAAAUGUUGGAAAAAUGAGGACUUUAGGCUCUUGCAGACAGCUACAUUCUGUGUAGCUUGGAGAUUUAAUGCAUUUAACAGUGGCUAAGUGCUCAUAAAUACCAAUCCAGCCGCAUGAUUCUUAAUAUUUUUGUGCAAGUGGUGCAACUUCUAUGUUUAGAAGGUUUUUGUGGCAGGGAACAAAGUCUGUCUCGCUUUUCCCCUUAUUUGGAUAUGGCAGAUUCUUUUUGAUCACUCUUAUCUCUUUUGUUUCACUAUAUGUUGAACCAAGAAUGUAGCCAUAUCAGGUCUUUCAAGGAUUCAGACUUGCCUGAUUUCUGAUUAACAGAUAACUGCUACCAGUCUUGGAUGCCGUUGUUAUAUCACUUGUGUUCCAUUAAUGCGUUAGUGUUGUUCAUUAGGUGUUAACUUGCAAUUAAUUUAAUCUGCUUCUAUGUGUGGAAUUUUGGCUAUGUUCCUUUUUUGUACUUGGCAUACCCAAUGGGUCAUAGAAACAUAAGACCUUUUGUACACUUUAGAUGCCUGAUGACAAAAGAUUCUCAAUAAAUCUGACUAGAUUCUUUUGUCUGAGGUUUAACCAACGAUGGUGAGCAGCAUCUUAAUUUUCUUGUGCUUGGACUGUUCGAUCUUGACAGAAGUCACCAUUGUAAGGUUGUCCCAGUAUUGUAAUUCUUGGAUUGUGAUUCAUGAAAUACUGCUUGAGGUUCAAUGGCUUGGAUGAGCAUAUGCAUGAGGUGGCAUAUUAAGAAGUUCAUCUUCUUCUACUUACUGGUUCUGAGUGCUUCCCCAAAUAAUGGAGGGGUAAUGCACAAACCAAUGGGUUUGUGCUUUUAUUUAAGUUCCAAGGAGAAGCACAGUGACCAAUGUUAUUCUGCUGUUGACCACUGAGACCUGUUCAUGCUGUACUUGGUUCUCAAAUCCUAUAACUAAUUUCUUGUUAAACAUUGUUUAUUCGUUUUUAAAGACCUUUGAGGUGUUCCAUGUAAACUUUUUUGAAGUAUCUGAUGCAUAAUAGAUGGAAGCUUAUAGUUGAUCUUGGCUGUUCUAACCUUCUUUUUUUAAAAAAUCAUGCUGUAAUUCCUAUGCUCAUAGCAUUUGUACAAGAGAAUUUUUGGUAAUCUAGUAGAAUCAAGUAAAACCUUUAAUUUCCAGGAUGUUGUUUCGUCAAAUAUGCAACCUUAGAGGAGGCCGACAGAGCCAUCAGAGCUUUGCAUAAUCAAGUUACUUUGCCUGGGGUAGGUGUUCUUUCCUUGUCUUGAUUCAUCUUUCUUUGUUUAUUUCUUUUUUUUUAAUGGAUUAUAACUUGAGUAUUAAUCUGGUUUCAUCAGGGAAUCGGCCCUAUUCAAGUUAGGUAUGCUGACGGCGAACGGGAACGCCAUGGUAAGAAUUUAGUAUUGUUGAACUACAUUUAUAACGAGUUCCUCUCCGUCUGACGCCUUAUGAGACAUGGCCUUUUUUCUUGUUCUUUGAAUUUACAUAUUUGCUUCCAUUACUUGUUGAGUUCUUAUUUAUAAAUUUCUAUCUCUAGGUUCAGUUGAACACAAACUCUUUGUCGCGUCGCUCAAUAAGCACGCAUCUGCAAAAGAGAUUGAGGAGGCAAGUAUUCUUUAACACGGCUUCUCCUUUAAGAAGUUCUUUCUGUGGUUGGAAUGGGUUUUCUGCAUGCACUGUGCUAUCUUUUCUUUGUAUUUCUAUCUUUUACAAAGACUUGAAUGCUGUUUUUGUGUUAUGCGUUUUGCAGAUUUUUGCACCAUAUGGUCAUGUUGAAGAUGUCUAUAUUAUGAGAGAUGCUAUGAGACAAAGCCGAGGUCUGUCCUUUGACAUAUACAAAAUGGUUUGAUGAAACCUUUUCUUUCCAUAUAUCCUUGUUACUGUUCUUAAUUCUUAUUUCAAUGGAACAUGAAGGAUGUGGAUUUGUGAAGUUCUCAACAAGAGAGAUGGCAGCAGCAGCUAUGAACGCACUUAAUGGAACUUACAUUAUGAGGGUAAAUUUGCUUUGAAUUAGAUAAUGCAUUAUUUGCUACGGUUGUAAAUGAUAUCAUUUCUAUUGUUCUAAUAUUAGGGAUGCGAUCAGCCUUUAAUUGUACGGUUUGCUGAUCCUAAGAGGCCUAGACCUGGAGAGCAAAGGUAAGCUUAUUUAGAUCUGUAUCUGUUGGUUUUGCUUAUUUUAGUUGCCGACUUAGCUGGCUAUAAUAGUUUGUCUAUUUUUAGAAACUUAGCCUCUGAUUUUUUUUUUUCCCCUUUGUACUUCAAGCCUAAAGUUUAUUUCAUUCUUUAAUUUGUGAUGUUUAUAGGGGCGGUCCUACAUUUGGGGGUCCUGGGUUCAGUCCUCGAUCAGAAGCCGCAUUAGUUAUUAGGUCUGUUUUCCUCCUUUAAAGCAAGCUAUGAUGAAGAAAUUCACCGUGUAAAUGGGUGACUGCAGAUGAUAAGAGCUAUUUCAUGAUAAUAUUCUUAAAUGUCAUUCAUGAUAAUAUGCUUAAAUGCCUAACUUUUAAUAUCUCAUUCUUCAGUAUGCAAGGGUUUAUAAUUUUAUGCACGCCAUUCUACCUUUACUCGUAAACUUUAUAAUGUUUGAGGAACUUUGUAAGGCCACCUUUCGUUAACAAGAAAACUGCCACACUCACAUGAAAUGAUGUUGCUUGGGAAUGCAUUGCAUUUGUUUACUUUGUUAGAUACUUAUUUGGUUCAUGUAAAUAGAAUUAGAUAUCCUUUCAUUUGGAUACUACCCAAAAACUUUGUUCUCAGUUUCUAACUGAUAGAUGUACUAGUAUCAUACUCUCUUUGCAUUAUUUUGUAGAACAAUCCUAUUUUUCUUGUGCUUAUUUUUAGUCUGUUUUUAUGGUUGACUUUUGAAUUGCUCUAUUUUAUUUUUAUUAGGCCAACAGCCAACCUUGACGAGCCUAGGGGUGGUGGACGCAUGCCACCUGACUCUUGGCGUCCGUUGAGCCCGCAGUCACUUGGACCUUCUUCUCAACUUAAUAAUAGUGGAUCCAACAGUCAUGCGACUGCAAAAGGUGGUCCUGCCACGACAUCAUCAGAUAAUUCUGUAUGCAUCGAAACAAUUGUCCAUUAAGUUUUACCAUGUUAUAUGAUACCAAUCUUUCUUAUUACUGCCUUCUUUUGUUUAUUUUUUCACGUUGUGAUUAAUAUAGGCUGGUGUCUUUGGACCCUCUGGUUUUCCUGCCAAUGGAUCCCUACCAAGUCACUCUGCUGCACCAUCUUUCCCGCAAUUGGUACUUAAGUCUUGUCUCAUUUCUCUCUCUCUCUCUCUAUAUAUAUAUAUAUAUAUAUAUAUAAUUGAGCUCCUAUGCUUUUAAAAUUACCUAAGUCAUUGGUGCUUGUAGGUUUUUGGUCUUUGGAUGAAGGGAUGUACUGUUAGGAUGAUAGUAGUCCCCUAGGGUUGAGUAGGUGGUUGGUGGAAUAGCAUAAUCUAAGGAGUGAAAUUAGUCAAAGGGGUAGAUCUAACGAUGAGAAACUUAAAAGCACCAAUUGCUUCGUGCUUUUAAAAGCACUAUACCCGUGUAUAUAUAUAUAUAUAUAUAUAUAUAUGCUAGGGCUAAUAUACUCUUAUGAGUAAAAACCCUUUUGUACUCAUAAAUUUUCGGCCGUUGGAUGAAGGAAUGUGUGGUUAGGAUGAUAGCGGUCCCCUAGGGUUGAGUGGGUUGUUGGUUGAAUAGUCUGAUCUAACGGGCGGAAAUGAUCAAAGGGGUAAAUCUAACGAUCGAAAACUUAUGAGUACAAAGAGGUCUAUACUCAUAAGAGUAUAGUAGCCGGACUCUCUCUCUCUCUCUCUCUCUCUCUCUCUCUAUAUAUAUAUAUAUAUAUAUAUAUAGUGGAUACUAGCAAGUUGUUGAUGGCCUGUUUGGCUUGGUUGGAGCUUAUGCAGAAGUGUUGUUUGAGUUUAGCUAUUUGAAGAAUCACUAGAGGCUUUUUCGUUGAAAUCUCCUGAACAUCUUUAUAAAAUCACAAAAGAUCCAGAAUAAAACCUUAUUUUAGCUUUACAUUGAAGAUUUUGCUUCUGGGGACUAAAACCUUAUUUUAACUUUCCAUCGCAAAAGAUGCAGAAUCUUUUCUUUAUAAAAUUGCCUGAUUUCUGGAAGCUUCUGCUGCUCAAGUCGAGAAGUUGUCCAGAAGCCUGGCCAAACAGUCAAUUUGCAGUGUGAAUUCGCUUGUAUUCUUGCAUUUCACAGGGCUUUAAUCCUACUAUGGGACAAGUCCGUCCUAUGAUUGGCCAGCAAAUAUCGCCAUUGCAGAAGCCAUUUAUGUCCCCCCAGAACUUUCCACACCCUCUUCAGUUCCACAAUGCUCAGCAAAUGCCAGCGAUGCUCUCACAGGCACAAAAUCUCCAGGAACCAAUGCAACAACUCCAGCUUCAAAACCCUCAAUCUAUUGGCGUAUCCUCUUUCGGUCAAACCCUAACCCCACAACAGUUACCCCUCGGGGGACAAUUUCCUGCUUCACAGCCUUUGAUCCAACAGAACCCCUCGGCUGGUGCUAUGCAAAAUCCCUUAGCCGUACAACAACAGCAAGCCAUGCCUGGUGUGCCUAGUCAGCAACAGUUUCCUCCUAACAUCACACCGCAGCUGCUUCAGCAGCAGCCUAUGCAGCAAUUGCCUUCGCAGCUACCGCAGGUGCUUCUGCAGCAGCAGGCUCAAGCUCUGCAAUCGAGUUAUCAAUCUUCACAGCAAGCAAUUUUGCAGCUGCAACAGCAACUGCAACUAAUGCAGCAGCAGCAGAGUCUAAAUCAGCAACAAGUUGCUCAGGCUGCUGCCAAACAACAGGUAAUGCAUACUCGAAAAGGUUUGUUUUACAAUUUGUUUUGUUUGUUGGAGGAUUUUUCAGUUCAAUGUCUUUGUGGGUAGUUUCUGUUAUCGAAAUUUCUUGGGCUAUUUGGAUAGCUAGUCCUUGAAAUUUGACUCGAAAUUCAAUUUUGUCCUCACAUUUUUCAAUUAACAACUCUGAAAGGUUGUCACUGUUUUAGUUUCAUCCUUGGGGUUUCAAUUUCGUCCCUGAAGUUUGAUCUUCAUUUCAAUUUCAUCCCCUAAGUUCUGAUUUUGAUGAAGGAAAAAUCUAAUGAUGGUGCUGACAUGGCACUUUUUAAGAUUCUAGACUACCUGAAUGACUUAAUUGUUAUUUAGAACAAACUUUAGGGACUAAAUUGUUACAAUUCAAGCUAUGAGGGAUGAGAUUAAAAUCCAAGUCAAAGUUUAGGGACUAAAUUUGUUUUUUAAACUCAAUUUUCGAUUGAUCUUUUAUCUUUAGCAAUGUUACUGAUACAUCCCAUAGCGGGGUGUAUAUCUUACACCNACCAAUCUUUCUUAUUACUGCCUUCUUUUGUUUACUUUUUCACGUUGUGAUUAAUAUAGGCUGGUGUCUUUGGACCCUCUGGUUUUCCUGCCAAUGGAUCCCUACCAAGUCACUCUGCUGCACCAUCUUUCCCGCAAUUGGUACUUAAGUCUUGUCUCAUUUCUCUCUCUCUCUCUCUCUCUCUCUCUCUCUCUCUCUAUAUAUAUAUAUAUAUAUAAAAUUGAGCUCCUACGCUUUUAAAAUUACCUAAGUCAUUGGUGCUUGUAGGUUUUCGGUCUUUGGAUGAAGGGAUGUACUGUUAGGAUGAUAGUAGUCCCCUAGGGUUGAGUGGGUGGUUGGUGGAAUAGCAUAAUCUAAGGAGUGAAAUUAGUCAAAGGGGUAGAUCUAACGAUGAGAAACUUAAAAGCACCAAUUGCUUCGUGCUUUUAAAAGCACUAUACCCGUAUAUAUAUAUAUAUAUAUAUAUAUAUAUAUAUGCUAGGGCUAAUAUACUCUUAUGAGUAAAAACCCUUUUGUACUCAUAAAUUUUCGGCCGUUGGAUGAAGGAAUGUGUGGUUAGGAUGAUAGUGGUCCCCUACGGUUGAGUGGGUUGUUGGUUGAAUAGUCUGAUCUAACGGGCGGAAAUGAUCAAAGGGGUAGAUCUAACGAUCGAAAACUUAUGAGUACAAAGGGGUCUAUACUCAUAAGAGUAUAGUAGCCGGACUCUCUCUCUCUCUCUCUCUCUCUCUCUCUCUCUCUCUCUCUCUCUAUAUAUAUAGAUNNNNNNNNNNNNNNNNNNNNNNNNNNNNNNNNNNNNNNNNNNNNNNNNNNNNNNNNNNNNNNNNNNNNNNNNNNNNNNNNNNNNNNNNNNNNNNNNNNNNNNNNNNNNNNNNNNNNNNNNNNNNNNNNNNNNNNNNNNNNNNNNNNNNNNNNNNNNNNNNNNNNNNNNNNNNNNNNNNNNNNNNNNNNNNNNNNNNNNNNNNNNNNNNNNNNNNNNNNNNNNNNNNNNNNNNNNNNNNNNNNNNNNNNNNNNNNNNNNNNNNNNNNNNNNNNNNNNNNNNNNNNNNNNNNNNNNNNNNNNNNNNNNNNNNNNNNNNNNNNNNNNNNNNNNNNNNNNNNNNNNNNNNNNNNNNNNNNNNNNNNNNNNNNNNNNNNNNNNNNNNNNNNNNNNNNNNNNNNNNNNNNNNNNNNNNNNNNNNNNNNNNNNNNNNNNNNNNNNNNNNNNNNNNNNNNNNNNNNNNNNNNNNNNNNNNNNNNNNNNNNNNNNNNNNNNNNNNNNNNNNNNNNNNNNNNNNNNNNNNNNNNNNNNNNNNNNNNNNNNNNNNNNNNNNNNNNNNNNNNNNNNNNNNNNNNNNNNNNNNNNNNNNNNNNNNNNNNNNNNNNNNNNNNNNNNNNNNNNNNNNNNNNNNNNNNNNNNNNNNNNNNNNNNNNNNNNNNNNNNNNNNNNNNNNNNNNNNNNNNNNNNNNNNNNNNNNNNNNNNNNNNNNNNNNNNNNNNNNNNNNNNNNNNNNNNNNNNNNNNNNNNNNNNNNNNNNNNNNNNNNNNNNNNNNNNNNNNNNNNNNNNNNNNNNNNNNNNNNNNNNNNNNNNNNNNNNNNNNNNNNNNNNNNNNNNNNNNNNNNNNNNNNNNNNNNNNNNNNNNNNNNNNNNNNNNNNNNNNNNNNNNNNNNNNNNNNNNNNNNNNNNNNNNNNNNNNNNNNNNNNNNNNNNNNNNNNNNNNNNNNNNNNNNNNNNNNNNNNNNNNNNNNNNNNNNNNNNNNNNNNNNNNNNNNNNNNNNNNNNNNNNNNNNNNNNNNNNNNNNNNNNNNNNNNNNNNNNNNNNNNNNNNNNNNNNNNNNNNNNNNNNNNNNNNNNNNNNNNNNNNNNNNNNNNNNNNNNNNNNNNNNNNNNNNNNNNNNNNNNNNNNNNNNNNNNNNNNNNNNNNNNNNNNNNNNNNNNNNNNNNNNNNNNNNNNNNNNNNNNNNNNNNNNNNNNNNNNNNNNNNNNNNNNNNNNNNNNNNNNNNNNNNNNNNNNNNNNNNNNNNNNNNNNNNNNNNNNNNNNNNNNNNNNNNNNNNNNNNNNNNNNNNNNNNNNNNNNNNNNNNNNNNNNNNNNNNNNNNNNNNNNNNNNNNNNNNNNNNNNNNNNNNNNNNNNNNNNNNNNNNNNNNNNNNNNNNNNNNNNNNNNNNNNNNNNNNNNNNNNNNNNNNNNNNNNNNNNNNNNNNNNNNNNNNNNNNNNNNNNNNNNNNNNNNNNNNNNNNNNNNNNNNNNNNNNNNNNNNNNNNNNNNNNNNNNNNNNNNNNNNNNNNNNNNNNNNNNNNNNNNNNNNNNNNNNNNNNNNNNNNNNNNNNNNNNNNNNNNNNNNNNNNNNNNNNNNNNNNNNNNNNNNNNNNNNNNNNNNNNNNNNNNNNNNNNNNNNNNNNNNNNNNNNNNNNNNNNNNNNNNNNNNNNNNNNNNNNNNNNNNNNNNNNNNNNNNNNNNNNNNNNNNNNNNNNNNNNNNNNNNNNNNNNNNNNNNNNNNNNNNNNNNNNNNNNNNNNNNNNNNNNNNNNNNNNNNNNNNNNNNNNNNNNNNNNNNNNNNNNNNNNNNNNNNNNNNNNNNNNNNNNNNNNNNNNNNNNNNNNNNNNNNNNNNNNNNNNNNNNNNNNNNNNNNNNNNNNNNNNNNNNUGCUGCAGCAGCAACAGAAGCUUGCUGUUCAGCAGCUCCAAUCGCCGCCUCAUGCGCAAGCACAUGCACAGGUUCAGCCUAAUCAGCAAAUUCCUCAGACACAACAGGCACAGCCUAUGCAGAUGAGGCAGCAGCCCCAAUUGCAGCUUGUUCAGCCUUCGAUCAUGGUAGGCACAAUUUUUAUUUUUAUAUCAUAAUCAUUAAUGUGUUUAUUUUGUCAUAUUUAUUUAUUUAUUUAUUUAUUAUCUUGAAGCAUCAAGCUGCUGUAGCUGGCCAGCAAAACAUUCAGGUGAGUUCUUUAGCGCAACAGAAUCAAAUUGUGCCUUUCAACCAUGAUAGCAUAAUGCCACCUUUGGUUUUUUUCUUUUUUUUUGGGGGGUGGGUGGCAGCUGUGGGGUGGGGUGGGGGGUACUUUAUGUUAGAGAGUUCAAUUACUUGGGUUUUAUCUGUUUUUGUGUAUUUGGGUUUAUCUUCUGGCUUUUUUAAAAAUAAAAAAUGAAACUAUUAAAAGGAGAAAAAUUCAAAUCAAAAAGGAGGGAAGAAAAAGAAAUUGAAGUUGGUAGAAAAAUUUGAGAUUAUGCUGAAAUGAUUUUUACAUUAUCUCAUGUUUCUAAAUUUGGUUUAUAGUAUAAAUAGGAUCUUAGGGGAGCUAAAACGAAAUAAAGGAGAUGGUUCUUAUUAUUAUUAGGGAUAAUGAACUGCUCGAGUUACUAGGUCUCAUAUGCACCAUUCAAUGCCUUCUCUUCUUUGAUUUUUAUCAUCUUCUUAAAUUAUACAAUGUUUUAUCUAGAGAGGAUUGACAAAACUCUUCAUUAUUGUGCCUUCCAGUAUGGCUGCAUGGUUCAUUUCAUCGGUCAUAAGCCUUAAACAAAUUUUAGAAACAUGUCUCUCCUGUACAUUGUCCGCAAAGACUAGUGAAUGGUUUUAUUAUAUAAUUUCUUCUAAUCUCAUCAUUCUGCUUGCUCCAGGACCCAAACUAUGCUCAGUUGCAAGCAGCUAAUUCUUCUAUUGAUCCUACCCGAGUCCAGCAGGUACUCUGUUAGAUGCCAAUCCUUUUCUGCAAAUCUCCCAAUACAAAAUGUUGGUGCCUACUGUUGCCAUAUAACCUCAGCUAUCGAAUUUCAUGCAGGGGCUCCAGUCUGCACAGGAGUGGGCUUGGAAAAAUAAACCUGCAGGUUUGUGAACAUACGUUGCCAAUGUUCCUUUACGAGUUUCUUUGUGCUUUUGAAGAUUGAAUUAUUAACCCAGACAUUUACAUAUGUAACCCUACAAAUUAUCUAUCUAUUAUACACUCCUGCAAAAUCAGUACAUGCCCUUUAGAAAUUUAUUUUGUAAUGCAAAACCGUCUUCAAAUGUAAGAAAGAGCUCGGCUAGCAUGUCCUGAUGCUGCGAUAAUAACAAAUUGGUUCCUAUUUUUCGUACAUUCCUAGAGCUUCAAUUUUGACAAUUCAGCCCUUAAAGUUUAUUUACAUAACAAAUAGGUCCUUCCACUAGCGUGCUAGUCCAUGAAACGUCAAAUCAGUAGGUUGCUAGUGAACUAAUCUUAUAAAACUCUCAUGUUAGCCGAGUCUCAUGAUUAUGCUGAUGAUGGGAAGGACUUGAACAAACUUUGGGGACUAAAUUAUUAAAUUUGAGACUACGACGGUGUAGUAGAAAUCAUAGUCAAAAGCUUCAGGAAUCGACUCGUAACUCCAUUUGCUGCUCUUUUAUCUUAAUGUACCAGAGGUUGUGAAUUGCAUAUCUGAUACCAAAAGAGUGCUAUUUGUUUUCAGGUUCAUGAUCCGAAGAUAUCGUCUACUAAGGUACGUGAGAGCUCAGGAAAGGUAAAAAUAGAUCUCUAAUGCAACGGUUUUCCGUCCGAAAGAGCUGAGUAAUAGAAUUCGACCUUGCACCGCAGCUGUUCGCCAUUCUUUCUGUCAUUGUUGUAUCUUUGAAUAUCUUACAAAGUAGGAUUAAACAAACAGUGUAAUAAGUCUUGUUUCUGUUCUCAAGAGUAGUAGUUUCAGAGUGCUUCGAUUGUUCGAAUCGUGCUCAGUUUUCCGUCUUGUCAUCGUAUUUUUUAUUGAGAUUAGAACUAAUACUAGGCGUAGUUUCGGAAUGGAUUUUCCGGUGUGCAACUGCUUUUUUUUUGCAGCAAAAUUAUCUAAAUAGCACUCUCUCCACUCUGCUGCUCCACAUUAAGGGCUUAUUUGUUUGGGCGAAAGCUGGAAGCGAAAAGUGAUUUUCGGCCAUAAACAGGCACCGUCAGUGUUUGGUUCAUCGUAAUAUGGUUACUGUUGAUACUUAAGCACCCGUUUGGUUUGGGGUUAAGGGGUGGAAUAAUUUUUUAAUCCCGAAGUUAUUUUCAAAUACCUAAUUUGGGGGUGGAGUUAGCCACUCCAUUUUUUAAACUAAACAAAAUACUAUUUUACCCACUAUCCUUCUUAUCCUAUCUAUUCCAAUUAAAUAUUAUUUUACUUAUAUCUGAACUAAAUUUAAUUCUCAAUCAAACACAAAAUUACUCUAAUUUUAUUUUAAUCCUGAACUUAACUCUAUUAUUGGAAUAAUAAGUUUUUACUUAAUCUCGAAUCAAACUGUGGCUUACAAAGAUUUUUUCUAGGCACCAUAGUUCAAUGUCUCAAGGUGGGGCCAAGUCAACUAUAGAGCGGAGUUGUGAGAAAAAAAAUAUAACUUAAAAAAUAAAAGAAAUAUUUUAUUUAUUAUAUUAUAAUUUAUUAUUUUAUAUAAUUAUACAAUUAUAUAAAAUUUUUUAUUUAUUUUGUUAUAAUUAUUAUUUAUGUAAUAAGUUAUAUAAGAGAUAAUAAUAAUAUUAUUUUACGAGUUGAGUUAGAAUACUAUCGAUAGUAAAUGAGCCGUUUUAUUACUGAUUUGUUUUCGAUGAUGGAGUUUUCAAAUUGACGAUCGGCUCCGUUAAAUAUGAUCUAAACCAUUUAAACUACCUAGAAAUCAAAUUUCACGCACUUUCGAUAUUGUUCUUUUAUCCAUCAAGUGAACAGAAAAAUGAAUGGCUGAAAAUGAAUAUUCUUGAAAAAAUGAUGAUAGGAGUCUUGUAAUCAAGAUCAAGAGUAUAGAUCUUGUUUCAAAUAGUUUAAAAAAUUUUCUAACAAAAAUUCAAUUGAUUUGGAUAUCUUUACGCCGUUAAACGAGAAAAUGCCUCUUAUCGACCAUUAAAAUUACAAAUUUUGAAACCCUUUGAUCAUUAGGCAAAUGAUGUCGAAAAGAUUUGAAAUUUGAUUUCUAAACACUUCAAGUAGUAUAGAUCAUGUUCAACGGAGCCGAUCGUCAAUUUGGAAGCUCUAUCAUCGAAAAUAAAUAAGUAGUAAAAUGACUCGUUUACUACUGAUAGUAUUCUAGCAAAACUCAUUAUUUUACGGUAUUCAUUUCUUAUCAAAAAGACAAUAGAAUUAAAAGAAUUUUACUUUAACAAUUAUGAAGAUAAACAGCCAAAAAGAAGCCAUUUUUACUUGAUUACAUCUACAGUUUGAGUUUCUCAGACUCUAAUUUGUAUUUUUCUAAAUAACUAGUAAAAUAAAUUCAUAUAUUUUUGAAUUUCUAUAAAUGGAUUUACAAGUGUAAAAGCAAAAGCCUUUUGUGAGCAAAAUGAUAACACUCACUUCUCGUUUCUGUAUAAUUCCACAAGAAUCCAAUAAAAAAAAAAAAAUCACAUGAUGAAUGGCACCAACAGGAAAAGCAAAUGAACAAUACCCACCGUAUCAACAAUCAAAUCAUCAAAAGAAAAAAAAAGAGAAAAAGAAAAGAAAAAGAAAGAAGUCAAAGUCAACCUAAGAGCAGCUGACUUCGUCGCGGAAUUCGAGGAAGAUUGUGGCGGCGCCGUAGUGCGCGAGCGCGCCGGCGAUGACGAACACGUGGAAGAUCUGGUGGCUGUGGCCGGCGAGGUCGAACCGGCCCGGCCGCCACCGCUCCGGCACCCGCGACACGUAGAACGCGGUCCCGACGGCGUACGCCGCCGCCAUCGCAACCUCGUACGCCAUCGUCACGUUCCGCCGGGGCUCCCCCCAGUUGACCACCGCCGCGUGCACCGCCGGCACCACCCCCGAGAACCCCAUCCCGGCGAAGAGCAUCGCGCGGUAGGCGCGGAACCGGCCGGCGCUCAGGUGCGGCGAGAGGAGGGCGAAGACGGUGGCGCAGCCCAUGGCGGAGAUGGCGGAGAGGUAGACGAGGCGCCACCGGGGGUCGCAGAGGAAGAUGUAGUAGAUCGGCGGGAAGAAGGAGGCGACGAUCAUGACGGCGAUGCCGACGUAGUCGAGCCGGGCCAGGAAGACGUUCAGGCGGCGCGAGUGGCAGCAGAGCAGGUGGCAGGCGCUGCUCGAUAGUAGGCAGAACAUGGACCCGCCGAGAAAGACGAAGAACGGCCACCGCGCCGCUGCCGCUGCCGCCGUCGAACGGUGGUCGGCGACCGUAUUCAGCUCACUCAGUGAUUUAGCUCCCUGCGGUUAUCAUAAAUAUGUUACAUUCGAACGUUCGGAUAACUUUCGUUAUUCCUGCCUUUUCUUUUAAAUUUUAGAUCUCUUGAAAGGAAUGUUUUGCAUUUAAAUUUGCAUUGAAAGGAUGUUGUUCAAUAUAUCUUCUUGAUACAAUUAAACCAAAAUUUAUGAUUAUUUGCUGGUAGAGGCUAGGGCUGUCAACGAGCCGAACACAAGUAAGCUAUGGCUAGCUCGUAUUCGACUCGUUUAAUAAAUGAGCUGAACGUGAACCGGCUCACGAACAGCAUGUUAGAUUGCUAGUCCUACUCUUGAAUAAAAAAUCGAAAAAAAAUUAGAAAUUAAAAUCUUAAUCUAAUAAUUAAAAUUCAUAAAAUAUAAAUCUCUUUACAUUUAGGUUGCCCUAAAAUCUAAAUAGUAAAAAUUUGUAAUACAUAUAUAUAUAUUCGAGCUACAUCGAACCGAGCAUGAUCGAGGUGAUUCCAACUCGUGUUCAACUCGUUAAAAUUUCGAGCUGAAAAAUUCAGUUCGUGUUAGGCUUGUUUAUUAAACAAAUAAUCGAUCUCCAACUCAUUUCGAGCUGAACACGAGCUGACUAGCGGACAGCGAGCUGAAUUGCCAGCCCUAGUAGUGGGUGCCAACCACUUAUUUAAUUCCCAAAAUAUCAAUUAAAGUACCUAAUAUUAGUUCUCUUUCCAUUUAAUUAAAAAGUAAAUGCAAAAGGAUUUACCUCUUCUUUUUCAAACAAUAAAAAUGAAAUUGGUCACAAUCUUACUCUAGUUUGUUUAAGAAUUUUUUUUUUAAUUAAAUUCGAUUGAACUCUUCUUAAUCGAAAUCAACUGAAUUCUAAGCUGUAACCAAAAAUAUUGGAAAAGUUUUAAAGGAAAAUAUUUAAUAAAAGUAUUACUAACGCUCGUUAGAAAACACUUUUGCAGAAACUCUAUUUCGGCGACAUAAAUGUUUAGGUUCUGAACUUUGGAUCAUGGCAUGAUCUGAAGCUUUUGUCCAAAGUCAAAAUUAGGAGCGAGCAUUGAUCGGUUCGGUUCAAUUUUUGGGUUUUUCUUUUUUAAACCGAACCGAGAAAAUUUAGAAACAAAAAACCAAAUUCAAUGGAAACCAAAAUAAUUCGGUCGACUCGGUUUGAAUAGAAUUUUUCUAAAAUUGAAACAUACUAAACUACUUGAAAAAGUAUAUAAAUAUGAUUACUUUUAUCUAAANCGAGUCGACCGAAUUAUUUUGGUUUCCAUUGAAUUUGGUUUUUUGCUUCUAAAUUUUCUCGGUUCGGUUUAAAAAAGAAAAACCCAAAAAUUGAAACAUACUAAACUACUUGAAAAAGUAUAUAUUUUUAAUCUUUUUAAUCUGAAAACAAAAAAUGAUAAAACUAUCUAAAAAGUCAAUUGAACUUUAAAAUUAAUACAUAAUAAAGAUUAUUUCGGUUAAUUCAGUUUUCCUAAUUUCUAUUUUUUACAAAUUUGUAUAAAGCCGAACCGUUUUGGUAAUUCGGUUUAAAAGAAAAAAUAGAAAUUAGGAAAACUGAAUUAACCGAAAUAAUCUUUAUUAUGUAGUACCCUGUGGUUUAAAAUGUAUCAAGUUAGUAUUCUGUGGUUUCAUUUUUAUAUCAAGUUAGUAUCAUGUGGUUUCUUUUUUUUUUUAUUAAUUAUUUCGGGGUAUUUUUUUCGUUAAAUCAGUGACAAAGUUAAAACGAAAGGAUAUUAAAAUGAAUAUUCGAUAAAUCUAGUUAGGGUAUCUGAAGUUUUUUGUAUAUAAUUUAACGAAAUAUUAAACCACAUGAUACUAAAGUGAAAAAGCGCGAAACCACAGAUGUACAGGAUACUAACUUGAUACAUUUUAAACCACAUGGUACUAAAGUGAGAAAGUGUAAAACCACGUAUUUGAAAUUUUUCUCUUUUUUUUUUCUUUUUUUUCUUUUUUUUUUUUUCUGCUACUCAUGAAAUAUACUUACUUGGGCUUCCCAAAUUUUGCAGGACAAAAUUAGUGAUUCCAAAAGCAUUAAAGGAUACAGGUUGGAAACAAUCUCAUCUAAAAAAAGCAAGUUAAAAAAAAAAGCCCUUUCAAUUAAUGCUCCAACAAAUCACAUGACUCAUGCUUGUCCUCACAUGUCCUUUAUGGUGGACAUGCCAAUGUGAUUGUUUCCAAACAAAACAAAAGAAAAAAAAAAAAAACCAAAAAACAAAAGAAAAAAAAAAUGUACAGAUGCCCAAAACUUUGGAGUUUUGGCAAAUGAAUCCUUGAACUUCUAAUUUUAGUAACUAUACUUUGUAAACGUUAUCAAAUAGUUUGACAAAAUUUUUGUUUUUUCUCAAGAAAAGUUACUAAUUAGACACACAUUUUCGACAAAUGUCUUAUAUGUGAUCUUGUGAUGUUUCAAAACACAUUAAAAUCCCUCUUUUUAAUACUAUAUAAGAUGGAUUCAACCUCUUCUUGUAAUUCAUUUAUUUUGCUUUAUCCACAAAAAGAGAAGAAGUAGGUUCUCUUUUGAAUCUUUAUAUAUAUAUAUAAGAUCAUUUAUAAGAUAUGCCGCAAACAUGAUUGUUUAAUUUAUAACUUUACCAAUUGAACUAUUCGAUAAAGUUUGCAGGUAUUUUUGCAUUUUUUGCGCAUAAAAAGAAAAACAAAAAAUCUUUCCAUAUCCUAGUUUAAAUUAAGUACAUGAUUAAAUUACUUUAUUCCCAACCAUGCAUGUAUAUUUUUCUCCACUGUUUUAAGACAAAAAAGCAUAUUUUUUAGAUUCAAGAAAUAGAUUCAAGAACAUACCACAAAGAAACUUCCCAUAUUGUAGGAGGCAUUUUCCACUGCUAAUGAUGAACCAUACCUGCACAAAAUAAACACAAGCCCAGUUAAUUAAUUGAGUCAGGAACAUAAAUUAAAUUAAAAAAAAGAAAAAGAAAAAACCAUGGUCAUAUGAGAGAGAGAGAUAGAGAAGAGUACUUAAACACUUCUCUUUUUUAACCCUUUUUUUUUUUUAUAAAGGGGGUGGGAUUCAACAAGUUAAGAGAAACACACAAAUGAGAACAAUCCACUUAUGAACACAAAAAGUGCACAAUAAUUUGCACUUUAGAAGGAAAUUAUUAUUUUUAUUAUUUCAAUUAAAUCACAAUAGCAUAUAUAUAUGCAUUCAUAAUAUUAUGACAAAAAGAAAUUAAAAUAACUAGGUCCUCUCCUUAUUUAUCCAAAUAAACUACAAAUUAAUUAGCAACCAACAAAAAGAAAAAGAAGAAAAUACUAGCUAGGAAUUAAUUAAUUAAUUACCAGGGAAGGUGCCCAAGGAGAUCAGCCACCUGGGGGACAUAAUAGCUCACAUGCAACAGUGUCAACCCCAAGAACACAAAGAACCCCAGUAGAUGCCUACAAAAUACAUGUUCAAACAAAUAAAAUAAGUAAAUUAACAUAUAUAUAUAACACUACUCCACACACACACACACACACACACACAAAAAAGGAAAAAAAAAGGGAAAAAAAAAAGAAAAGAAAAGAAAAGGGGUUCAUAUAUAUAUAUAUAUAUAUAUAUAUAUGAUUUAGUUAGUUAAUUCAUACGUACGUCCAUAUGUUGAUGGUCUCAUUGUGCCAUGAGAAGAGGCUAAGUAAUGCAUUGGGGAUGGGCCACUCAGCUCUAUAAUACCCCAGGAUGUACUCAUUCUCCUUCAUGUACUCAGGGAGCUCCUCAUAACUCACCAACCCAUACUUUCUCUCCUCAUCAUCAUCCCUCUUAGGCUUCUUCUUCUUGCUGUUGCUCUUCUUCUUCUUCUUGUUAUUGUUACUACAACUGUUAUUCCUCACAUCCAACCCACCCAAAUCCUUCAUGUGUAGUUGUAGUUGCUCAUGCACCUCACUCUCCAUCUCUCUCUAGAUCUCUCUCUCUAAAUCUCUCUCUCUCUCCCUCUCUAGAUCUCUCUCUCUCUCUCUCUCUCUCUAGAUCUCUCUCUACACACAUGCAACAAAGUUUGUGGUGUUUGUAGGGGUGCUAAAUAGUAAGGAGUUGAGAAGUUUUAAUUGUUUUGGCUGCUCCUGGUGCAUGUGGUGCAUGCGUGUGCGCACCUAAUUAUGAUUGAAAUCUAAUCCGAUAAAUAUGAUCUACGAAUUUCGAUCUGCGAAAAAUCAGUGUCUAAAAUUUAUGAUUUUUUUUUUUGAGAGAGGAAGGUAGCAUGCUACAUGCUUCGUUUAUUUAAUUUAGAAAUAAACUUAGCUGAAAAUGUGAAUCAACUAGGAUUCGAAUUUGGGUCUCGGGUACCGACCAUCAAGCCAUUUUGCCACUUGCGUUAGGGGCGGUAGAUUUUGCUACCCGAACUUGGGUCUCAGGUAUAAAAAAAAUUAUGAUUUUUUUACAUAUAGGCUUUUGUCUAGUUAGUUAUUUACCUGUAUUUUCCUACGACGACAUGAAUUUGAAUCAAAUUCGAGAAAUCAAUAGUAUUAAGAGUCUAAUUGAAUCACUCGAAUUUGGAACCUUCUACUACUCUGAUGUUAUAUUAAAUAAUGCGAUGGGAUCAUAUUUUUUCUGAACUGAUAUUCUUAGUAUUGUAUAUUCAGCAGAGAGAACACAUCUAAUGAGUUAGAAUUUUAUGUGUGUCAUGCAUGAGAUCACUUAAUGUACUUGUGCAACAGGUGCAGGGAAUUAUGGCUCCCUCCUAAUUUUGAUUUCUUACAAGGAAGAGGGUAGAGAGAGAGAGAGAGUGAAAGAGACAUUUUGGUGGAACUGUGUAGAGAAAAUAGAGAGAGAGAGAGUGAGAGAGAGAAAAUGGAGAGAUUGUAGAGAGAGAGAAAGAGAGAGAGAGAGAGAGAGAGAGAGAGAAUGUGUAUGAAUGUGGGGUUGUUGUGGUUAGGUCACUUUAGGUCAUUUAUAAGUGAGCUACUAACCAUCCUCUCCUACCUAUCUCAUUUAAUUUUUGCAGGCACAGUUGCUGCAGAUGAUGGACCUGGUCACAGCUACAAUUUAUAAGCACCUCUUCUGUUGCAGCACAAAUUAUUAUUAUUAUUAUUAUUUUUUUUAACUUUGUGUUCUUUUUACUUAAAUUGGAUAUUCUCUGAAUAUUCUCCGUAUUACUCUACUUUGGUGUCCUGUGAUUAUUAUCUUAAUUUUCUAUAAAUGUUUUUUUCAAUCUUUUGUCAGAAAUAAAAAUACGUACGUACGAAAACAAGUAAAACUUAUUUGAUCGAAGGUACCUUUAAUUGAAAUCUUUUAUAAACCAUAUCAUCGUUCCCACAUUGUAGAUUUGAUGUUUCUUGGCUACUUAAAUUUAUUGAUAUGUUUGCUGAUUUUAAUUGAAGAGUUAUUAUGAGAAACACAAGAUCAACUGAGUAAUAACUAUAGAAUAUACUUGAAUAAUAAAAGCUAAAAGAAGAAAUGUGAUAAAACCACAUAAGUUAUGAAUUUAUAUUUCAAAUUUAAUUGUGGGUUAAAGCUUUACUUCUAGUUUUUGGACCCUUUUCCACAAAUUUAGGUCAAAGGGCAGCCGUAAACGUGACGAAAUUUCUUAUGUGAUACUUCUUCAUUCUCUUUUUCAAAGGAUAAUACUUCCUAAAUUGUAUAUUGUGUUUAUUAAUUCUACUUAGGGGUGAAUCCAGCUCGCUGUUCGCGAGCCAGCUCCGUGUUCGGCUCGAAAUGAGCUCGAGAUCGUUCGCUCGUUUAGGUCAGCUCGCGUCGUGUUCGGCUCCGAUAACAGCUCGAAUACAUAUAUUUUUAUAUUAUAUAAUUUAUUUAAUUUAUAUUUUUAUAUAUAAAUAAAUAAUUAUAUAUAAUAUAUAUUUUAUUAUUUAAUUUAGCAAAAUAAAAAUAUAAAUGCGAGUUAAUUAUAAAAAGCUCAUUUAUAUGUAAAGUUUCACUAUUAGAUAAAAGUCUAAUGGAUAAAUUUGUAUAAAUUUAUUUUUUAUAUAUAUUUAAUCUAAUCAUUUUUAAUUUAUUGUUCGUUGGUCAGCUAGUGUUUGGCUCAUUAAUAAACGAGUCGAACACGAGCUGAAUUUUUCGGCUCGAUACUUUAACGAGCCAGCUCGUGUUCGGCUCAUUUAAUAAACGAGCCGAACACGAGCCGACCCCAACUCGCUCGUGUUCGGCUCGUUUACACCCCUAAUUCUACUAUCAUAUGUACAAAAAAGGGCAUUUUAUUUACCUUUUUUUUUUAACCCUAAAUUAAGGCGAGUGAUGUUCUGGGCUUCGAACUUUAAUUUGUUGUAAUUUUUAGCUCAACUUUUUUGAAUUUUACAACUAAAUCUCACAGUCCAAUUUAGUCCGGUAAAUGAUGUCAUGUCACUAAUGUGGUACCGAUGCAAUAAUGUUAUAAUCAAUAACGUGCACAUCACUAUCAUAUUAGCUAAGUAUCAAACAACUAAUUAAACCUGAAUGUAAGGCUUAAUUUCAACAAUUAAAAAUGUUCGAGUAAAAAAUUAUAAGAAAUUAAAGUUUGAGGACCAAAUUGCUAUGCGCCUUAAAGUUUAAAAAUUGUUUAAUCAUUUUUGAGUGGGCUGAAAUUUUUACUUAUUUAUGAAUUUUUAGGAGCCCUACCUCAAAGAAGCAUAACACCGUUAUGUAUAUGUAAAUAUCUUUUAUAUAUGAAUGCAUAUAUUGAAUAUAAAACAUUAAAACAACUUUUGCUAACAUUUUGAACAUUUUAAAGGGUAUGUAAUUAAGAAGCGUUAGUUUGGGGGAACUCUAGAUAUAGGCACUUAUUCUUAGGUUGUAAAUUAAACUUCAUUUUUACAACUUAAAUUAACAAAAAAAAAACCCUAAUUUCACAUAUUAAUGGGACAAUUAAUAAAUUCUAAUUAACAAGAAAGAAAAGAAGUUUUUUAAAAAACUUAUAAUGGAGCUACAUAUGAAUGAUAAUACUGUAAAGAGAAUACAAAUGAGACAAAAUGAGAAACAGAGCUCUCUCUCUCAUGACCUUAUUAAUAUCUUAUACAUGUAUUUAUAUAACAACAGAGAAUAAAGAAUGUAUAGUAAGAAAUAUAAAAUAAGGUACAAAUGCAUAAUUAAUGGAGAUAAUCCGGAGAGAAUUAGGCUGUUGAUUAAAUUAGGCUGUUGAUUAUAGGAGUCAAUAAGCCCUUAAUAUUAGCCAUUCUCCAAGGCUUUCGUUUCACAUCCCUCCUCAAAUUGAUGCAGGGAAUCAGCAAGCAUCAAUUUGUUAACCAAAUAAGCAUGGCGAGAUGAAGACAUAGAUUUAGUGAAUAGGUCUACAAUUUGAUCAUGAGAGGGCACGUGACAGAGAGUAAUAAUUUGGUCUGGUACAAGUUCCCGAAUAUAAUGGCAGUCCACCUCAAUGUGCUUAGUUCUUUCAUGAAGUACUGGGUUGGUUGCAAUAGGAAUAGCACUUGUAUUAUCUGCAUGCAGAGUUGUUGAGUGUGGACAAGUCACACCUAAUUCCGCGAGAAGUCGGCAAAGCCAAACAAUUUCGGAACUGACUGAUGACAUAGAUCGAUAUUCCGCUUCUGUGGAGGACUUGGCAACUCUGUCUUACUUCUUAUAUUUCCAUGAGAUGGGUGACGAACCUGAGAAAAUACAACAACCAGUGGUUGAUCGUCUAGUAUCAAGACAACUAGGAUAGUCCGCAUAAGCAAUAGUAAGAGCAAGAGAAGAAUGUGAAGGAAAAAAUAAGCCACGACCAAGUGUUCCUUUAAGAUAUUGAAUGAUGCAAUGAAGUGCAGAAAGAUGUAUGCAUUGCAGAUCAGAAACGAAUUGACUCACUACUUGAAUUGCAUAUGAAAUAUCUGGUCGAGUGAUAGUAAGGUAGAUAAGACUCCCCACAAGACGCCGAUAUAAUUUGAAUCUGAAAUAGGCUGUCCAACUUCUCACUGUAGUUUGACAUUAAGUUCCAUUGGCGUAGCAGAUAUUUUGUUAUCUGUGAGAUUAGCUAACUUGAUCAAGUCAUUAGUGUAUUUCUUUUGAUUAAAAAAUAAUCCAUUUGCUGAAUGGAAAACCUCCAACCCAAAAAAGUAAUUAAGUGAACCAAGAUCUUUCAUAUUGUUGGGAAUCUGGUACUGGCCCCGGUACCGGAUUUUGUGAAUCCGCAACUCGCUUUGAUACCGACUGUUGUUGAUUCGGUAUCGAUUUUUGGGAUUCCGCAACGGAAGCGUUGAAUCGGGUUUUUACUAUAAACCCGUCUCCUCAGCAAAGGCUGAUACAAUUACAAAAGAGUGCUGCUAAUUUACCAACAUUUAUUUAAGCAUUUAGCAACCGUCGGAACUCUAUCUCGUUGGCUGCGGUGGCGGAGGAGGAGGAGAGCGAAGGGCUCUUCGUUUAGCAUUUCAGUAGAUUGAGUGAGGAGAGAAGGUUUCUUUUUUUUUUUUUCCUUUUUUGUUUGUAAUCGGGUUGAAUGAGUUGGGUGGGGUGGGUUGAGUAGAAUAACCUUCUAUUUUUUGUUAGAUUGAGCUUUAUAUUUAGGCCUUAGUAGAUUUUUUUAAAAGUUUUGGCAUAAAUAGGACACUUACACAAAAAUGUCCCAAACAUGCGUCCCUACAAUCUAAUUCUGUUGUAGUGAAAUAGUUAUAAAUAGUGCAACUUUAUCUUAAACAUUAUUAGUCUAUUUAUUAGAACUAAAAGCGAAAAGAUCUAGUUCGUCGGGUGCGAAAAUACCAAAAGAGAUCCGAGAAACAGAGAAGAAAAAUAGAGCACACAAUAUUUACGUGGUUGGGCCACCAGCCUAUGUCCACGAACGAAAACGGAGCGGAGAUCUUCAUUAUAAUCAAAGUGGUGUACAAAAUAUACCUCUCUCACAAAAUUCUGAUCCAAAAAAUGCAUCCAUAUUCUCUCUCUUAUCUGGCGCAGUAAACCAAUGGAAUAAAGGGUAUAUUUAUAAUAGUGGUUAAAUCUUAAUACAACUAGGAAUACAAACCCACUAAGAUUAGAAAUAUCUCAAUAAAAUUAGGCAUAAUUUAAACUUAACUUAAUGGGAUAAUCAAAAUAGAAUAUGGUUAGAAGACCUUGCGGUACUAGAAUUCGAGACAUAUCUAACAAUCUCCACGUUGGCUUGAAUUCUCUAUUUUCUCCACCAAAAUCCCAAAAGCUCCUGAAGUGCUACUGCACAUACGAACAAGUUUACGGAAUACAUGAACUUGAUCGCCGAAAACUUAAUGAGCAAAUUUGCGGGAUUAUCUGAAGUACCAAUCUUCUCAUUCUCCAACUACACCUUUUUGCAACCUCUGUUGCAUCAGAACGACAACUUGUCGUAGAGUGAAACUGCUGGAGUGAUCAAACUUCUUGAUCUCAAAUUCGUGUGUAAGAAAUCACCAUCUCUACAAGAAGUUAUUCUAGACUCUUAAGAUUGGACAAUUCUAUUUUUAAAAUUAAAAUUAAUUGAGUACUCAAACUGUGGAAGGUCUUUUUAAUACUAGCAAAAACAGGACGUGGCCAGAUAAAGAAAGACCGAUUCACAACAGCUCUCAGUUAAAUCUCGUGAUAGAUUUCUUAAGCAAGGGUAGGAUGUCAACGGGCCCGAUUUAGGGCGGAUUUUUUAAAAUCCGAAUCCGAACCCAAAUUCGAAUUCGACAGAGUUUAAAAAUUCAUAUCCAAAUCCGAACCCGACCAAAAUCAUCAAACCCGAACUCAAACCCAAACGGGUCCAAACCCGAAACAAUUAUGUCUCUUUUCAAUAUUUUAAAAUAUAUUAUGUUAAAUUUAAAAUUUUAAAAUAUAAAUUCAAAUAUAAUAUUAAAUUUUCAUCUACAUAUUAUAUAUAAUGUAAAAUAAAUUCGGGUUCUGAUCGGGUUCGGGUCAGGUACAGUCAAAAUCCGUAUCCGUAUCCAUAUCCAUCGGAUUUUUAUUUUUGAUAUCUAUAUCCGAAACCAUAUCCAUUUAGCAUCGGUAAAUUCGCUCCGUUCGGAUUCGAGUUUAGAUAAAAUUUCGGAUAUCCGUACCCAUCGACAUCCCUAAGUAAGGGGAGUUAAAGACUGAAACACCACAUUCCUUAGUUAGUAUUGAGGAAAAUGGUACUUAUAAUUGAUAAUUUGCCAAAAAGAGAUUAUAUAGGAGUAGAAUUGUGUACGCUGCGCUGUUGAGAAUGAAACUAUAGACCAUCUAUUCAUGAAUUGUUCUUGUGUCAAAUACCUGUACUUCCGCCCGCUAUUUAAUCCGGAUGCAACAGUAAACAUACGCUCGAUAGGAGACCUUUGGGAAGCAUGUAGUAUGCAGAUGGAUACUACAAAGAUGACAGUUGAUGUGGUUUGGUGACUCGUGUGGCCGGAACAAAAUAACACAACAUUUUAGAAUUUGAAAAAUAAUAUAGACCGAACCUUAAGUGAAAUCUGAAAACUAAGAGAGUUUCGGAAAGAUCACUGUAAAAGCUAAAGGUAGUUGAUGUGUCCUAAUCAAUAAUCCCUAGUUUUUAUUUUUGUUUUCCCAAGGCUCCAUUGUCUCACUAUUGUAGCAUAGUUCGUACUCUUAAAUGAAGCGAGAAACAAACUGUCUUUUCCACAAAAAAAAAAAAAGAUUCGCCUUUUAACACUACCAACAAAAGUUGACAAUAAAUUAUAACAUACUUUUUAAGCAAGUACAAGGCCUUUAAAAUUUGUUUUUUAUACUCAGAAGUUGUUUGAUAUUGAGGUCCAUCUAAUAAUAAUAUGCAAAAUAUGAUAAUAUGCUUUUUAAUUUUCUAAUAGAAUCGAAAAAAAUAUAUCGUAACCAACUCACUGUGAUAUGCGGAACGAGAUAUUAUGUACGCAAACAAAUAUUAUAUUUUUCGAUGUACUUUCUUAUCGCACAGCGCAUUCUCCUCGCAAUCUUAAAUAGAGCCUUAAUUUAUCAUCUUAAAAAAGGCUAAAUCGUAUUUGUGGUCCUUAAACCACAAAACAGGCGACGGCUUGGUUUUCAAACAUUAGUAUGUUAUAACUUCUGACUCGAAAUUUAUUACAAUCAAAUCCUACUGUCCGAUUAUUGCCAAGUCAUUUACUACAACGCUAAUAUAUUAUUAUUAUAUUAGCGAUACAUCAUUUUUUAGACAGCUAAAUUAAACUGUAAGACUUAAUUAUAAUAAUAUAAAAAAUUUGAUCUAAAUGUUAUAAUAAAUUUAAAUUUGAGAACAAAGCUUUCCACCUGCCUUGUGGUCCCAGGGCCAAAAAUGCUUUUUUUUUUAAAAAAAAAAACUCUUAAAAUAGACCCAAUUCAACCCAUUCAAAUCCUUAAGAUUAGAUAGUAAAUUCAAAACUUUCUUUAAACUCCGAUUUCAAUAUUAUUUUCUCGAAUUGUAACUAAGUUUUGAGUUCACUAAAUUCAAAAAAUUCAAAUUAAAAUAAAGAAAAGUAAUUAAUUUUAGAAUAAAAAAUUGUAUAAAAUUUUUGUGAACUAUGGUCCAUUCUAAUAGGACUACUUCCCACCCAUUUAACUAAACUGCGAAAAGGUGUAAUCAAAUUAAUUAUUUGAGUUAAAUCAUUUGACCACUCUUUAUAAGAAAUUAAUGUUUAUAAUAAUAAUAAUUACUUGCUUUAAUCAUAAUUUAGUCACAUGAAUUACAUGACAUAUUCUAAUCAAAUAUGUUAAAAUAAUUGAUGCACCCAAAUUAUUACGAAGUUAAAUCAUCAUCAAAUAGCUCGAAUCAAAUGAGUAAAAAAUUAUAAAGCAUAAUCUCAAGGCAUUGGGAAAUAGUCUCCUCAACUCUUUUUUUUUUUUUUUUUUUUUUCCCUUGAUUGAGACCCCUCAACUUCUAAAUUUUAAAAUUAAAUAAUGUUAGUUAUAAAAACUAAAAUUUUAUCAAAUUCACUAGUAAUUAGUUAAGCCAAAUUUACUCGCUUUAAUCUUUUCUUAUCACGGGGACUGUUUAAUAAAUAUUUUGUCUUAAAUCUUUUAUUUUGAUAUUCGUGUAGUUUACGCGAUGAACAAUGAAUAAAACUGUUUCAUUUUAAGGACUGUUCUUAUAGAAUGUUUGUUUUUAUUCGAGAUAAAUUUUAUUAGGACAGUUCCUAUGGUGAGAUCGUUUCAUCUAUUGUCCAUCGUGCUUUGAGAUUCGUGUAGUUCAAAUGAUAGAUUGCAAAUAGAGCUAUCUCACUUAGGGAUGGUAAUCCAGCUCGCUUUUCGCAAGCCAGCUCGUGUUCGAUUUAAAAUGAGCUCGAGAUCGAAUUACUUGUUUAGUAAAUAAGUCAAACAUGAGCUGACUUUUUCAGCUCGUUUAAUAAAUGAGUCGAACACGAGCUGGGGCCAGCUCGCUUGUGUUCGGCUCGAUAACAACUCGAAUACAUAUAUUUUAUAUUUAUAUAAUUUAUGUAAUUUAUAUAUAUAUAUAUAUAUAUAUAUAUAUAUAUAUAUAUAUAUAUAUAUAAAUUACAUAAAUUAUAUAANAUAUAUGUAUAUAAUUCAAAUUUUUAUUAUUUGUGUUUUAGUCCAACCUAAAUAUAAAGCCCAACUUAAUUACAAAAAGAUUCAUUUAUCUGUAAAAUUUCAACCAUUAGAUCAAACUCUAGUGGAUAUGAUGUCGUAAACUUAUUUUCUAUAUAUAUUCUUUCUAACUUUUUAGCUUAUUAUUUACGAGUCAGCUUGUGUUCAACUUAUAUUUGACUCGUCAAUAAAUGAGAGCUGAAUUUUUUGGCUCGAUGCUUUAAUGAGCCGGCUCGAAAUCACCUUAUUUAUGAAACGGGCUGAACACAAGCCGACUCCGGCUUGCUCGCCCUAGAUAGUGGCACCGAUGUGCAAAUCGCCUAAACCCGAGGGGUCUACAUGCAAUUUUACUACUAAACUGUGUACAUAUAUAAGAGCGAAUUGUUGCGCUCUCUCUCCCCGACCGUGUCGCCGAUAUAAAACCCUCGACUCCUCCCUCUCUCUCUCUCUCUCUCCCUCUCUCUCUCUCUCUCCCAUUUCCAUUCGAGCGUUGCGACGCACCGCUCCCUCCCUCGUCCUCGACGCUUCUCGAUCCUUCUCCCGCUCUCCCGAUCCCCCUCUCGCGGUUCCGCGAUCCGGAGGCGAGCUAGGGUUUCGGCGCCGGGCCACGCUCGCCCCGAGAUCUCCUUCACCGAGCUGGUAAUUUGUUGUCCGAUCGAGUUUCCCGCUCCGUUUUCGCGUUAAUGGCGUCGAAAACCCUCCUUGAUUUGAUCCCUUAUGCGUUUAUUGCGGCUCGGAUUUUGGUUCCUAGCUCAAUGAGUAUGUUGCGUUGGGAUUUUGUAGUCGUGGUUGGGGAAUUUUGGUUGAGAGUAGUGGCUAUGUUAGAAAUGUGAUGUUUUGUGCUGAGUGAGGAUGAUAAGGUGUAUCACAGCGCGCGGUUUAGGAGAGCCCUGGAAUUUUUUGGGAUGAGAAUGUUUUUGACCCAGAUUUAGAUCUAGCUCGUAAUUUGGACAUCCUAAUUACUUGUUACCUUGGGGACAAAUGGAAACUUUUCCACAACAAAAGUUCGAAUUUAGUGUUCAUCCUUCUGAGGGGAAACGAAUAAAAUUUCAGUGAAGAGUGAUUUUGCGGUGAAAAGUGUUGGCGACAGUUAACAUACGGUUUCAAUAUUUUUGCUUUGCUUAUGUCAACUUGUCAAAUGAGUAUCUGUUCUAACCAAUACACUCCGAAUGGUGGUGUAUUUGCUUCAUGGCUAUAACUAGUUGUUCUCUUCACCGAGGUUGGAUUGCAUGUAUAUUGGAUUUCCUUAAAUGCCUCUUACUGGGAUGCCACAGAUUGAACAUCUAAGUGAUAUCUGUGCAAACGAUUUUGGGGUUAAAGUGAUCAUUUUGUUUGUUCAUGUAAAGAUUUUUAAUGGAAGGAAGAAGGGAUGUUCGUACAAAUAUAGUCUAUUACAGGACUGCAGUAGAUAUUUCAAUUUCGGAAAUAUGCUCAUUCUUAUAAAUAUACCUCUUCCUGAUAACCUUCCUAUUCUAUAAAAGUGUUUUAAAUAAAAGCUUUCCCAGAUAAUACCUCUUUGCUUGAUAGUACCUCUCGUCCUUCCAUUUGAACAAUAAGAUUUAACUUUUUAGCACUUGCUGCAUCGGUAAGUAGGGUAUGAAUGAUGCCAAUUAAGCUAUAGUUAUAGGUCUGAUUCUUGUCUAUUAGACUCACCCCUAAAAGAUUCCAAUUGCACAAUAAGCAAAAACUUCAAGUUGGAGCUUCUGCUUUUGGACCUUUUAACUCUUGGCCACCACUUGAAUCUUUCUUCUUGUUUCCAUUUUCAAUUUCUGAAUCUCUUCGAUCUUGACCUUUAAUGCUUUGAAAUGUGAUCGUAGGUAAUGGCAACUUUUGAGCUGUAUCGAAGGUCCUCGAUUGGAAUGUGCUUGACAGAAACCCUAGAUGAGAUGGUGUCGAAUGGGACCCUUAGCCCAGAGCUUGCUAUCCAAGUCCUGGUGCAGUUUGAUAAGGUUCGAUUCUAACCCUUAUGAUUAAUUUUUCCUCUUUUUUUAACUGAAAAUUCCAUUCUAUGUAGUUAUAUAAUUUUCUGUUCUAUUGUCUUCUUUAGUCUAUGACAGAUGCUUUGGAAAACCAAGUGAAGACCAAAGUCUCUAUUAAGGUAUGCAUUUGCAGAAGAGCUUCUUGCAUUUUAUCUACGUAGCUUUAUCUUUGUUGAUCUUUUUUUUUUUUUUGCUUACUGCUUCUAUUAAUAAUUGCUGAUUAACUAUUUGUAGCAGUAUAAUUUCAACAGAUCAGACGUAGCUUGAUCAACAUGACUCAAAUCUGUAAUAAAAUGAAAGGUUUAAGAAGAAUAAGCUUCCAUACUGAAUUAUAAUGAAGCCAUGACUCCAAUAAUCUUUUGAAAGCUCGUGAUAGAUGUUCAAUCGAGUAUUUGGUCUAGUACAGUGGGUAGAAAACUGAACCUGGAUUUUACCAAUAUUAUGUUCUAGUUGGGACAAGAUCGGGGGCUCUGGACAGGGUACAGAAGUAUACAACCCCUGGGUAUCAAAUUAGGUUUAGUUCUAAAAACUAGUUUACGUGAAGAGAAUAAAUUAAAGUAACCAAAAUGAUUUGGAAAUAUACUUUGUUUAUCCAAUAAUGAAAACCUGCUCAAUGUCCAUGUAAACUAAAAUGAUUAAUUAAAAGUGCACCUUGAGAUGUAAAAUGCGGAAUUAUCCCAUGAUGAACUGUUGAAUGCACCUUGAGACCUUGUGUUGAUUCAAGUGUGCCUGCAUGAUGUAUAUCGAGGCAUGCUCAUCAGUCGUCGGGUGAAAAGUGGACAAGAAGGGGAACCCGACACACGAGGCAGGUGUGGACACAUGCCUUUGCUGGAUUAGGGCAAUCUUUUAUAUCUCUUUAUAUACUACGAUGUGCUCCAUUUUGGUAAGGACAUAUACAGCCAUUAUAAACUUUUACAGACAUAUAACUGCUGAAGAAAUAAUAUGAUGAUUUGAUGAAAAAUACAUCUACAAUAAAAAUAAGUAGUGUGCCCCACCUAGAUUAGAAUCCUAGAUUCGCCUCUGUGGGAAAGUGUCAGUAGUGAACCUCCAGAACUUCUGGGAGCAUUCUAGCACUACACUUCUAAAUUUAUAUGCGUAUGGGGUGUCUUAUAUGAACUGAUCAGGUUAUACUAGCGUAACUUUUACAAAGUUUAAAAUGCUAGUGUAAUAUCUCUGUCGGCAAGUAAAUAAUUCGAUUAUAUCUACAACAUUUAAAAGAACGGUAUUAAUAAAAAGAUUUAACUUUUGGAAUUCAUUUUUCUGCCAUCGAACAUGUGAAAAUAGAGGCUCUAGUUUUUCUUAGAACAGUAUUAGAAGAAGACAAACAUCUUAUGGGAAGGAUUAUCAUAUGGGAUUUAGAAUUGCUGAGCACUUAACUGUGCUUUUGCCAAUUUAUGAGACCCGUAUCAUCCGAAUCAUCCAUUAUUUUUAGCACACACACUCUCAAACUGAUUGCCAUUUGGAGACUCCACACUCCAAAUUCAAGUACAUCCUAGUUAUCACAAAUCCUCGGAAAACCUCUUCAACUCGCUAGAGCUAUCUCUAAAUAUUUUAUCUGUUUCUUUAUGAUAAGAUAAGAUUUCAGCUGAAGUGCCAAUCUCAAUACUCAGAAAGCUUAUACUCUCUUGCAUGCUGCUCUAGUUGAUUUGCAUAAGGUCAGUCUUCCGGGCUAUUCCUAAGUACUACGCUGACUCGUACUUGCUGACAAUUUUCUUGCUAAGUUGGAAGUGCUUUUGUUUGUGAUUUCUGGUUGGGCUUCUCAGGCCAAGAAGUCUUUUUUCGAAUGGACUUUGCAUGUUUACUCUGGCUGAAUCUCUAAUUUAGCUUUAUAUGCUUUCGCUAGAAAAGUAAAAUUAAAAGAAAAGCCAGUGUUUUUCAUUUCCUUACGGUACAAAAUGCUUGAAUUUUCCGAUUUCUAUUAACUAUUCAUUUUUGUUGCUUUUUUUUUUUCUUUUGCAUAGGGGCAUUUACACACAUACAGGUUCUGCGACAACGUAUGGACGUUCAUCUUGCAAGACGCGAUGUUCAAGAGCGACGAAAUGCAGGAGCAAGUCGGGCGAGUCAAGAUCGUGGCUUGCGACUCCAAACUGCUUACUCAGUAGACCUUCUUCGUGGCUUGUUUGGAUGCUCUCCUUCUGAGAAUAUCUUCAGAAGGAUGACUAAAACCUCUUUUUUUGUGUUGUGCUUGAGAACUCCAAACUCUUACUCCCACUCGCCCUGUUAUCAGUUCGUGUAAUUUGCGUAGUUAUUUGCAUAUUAGGAGUGUAUUAUAUCUAUCACCGCCAUUGUCGGUAAAGCUUUGAUUUGCUGGAAACAGGCCCAAUUUCUUUUUUUUUCCUUUUCCGAUCGAAAUAAGAUGUAUUCAAGUUUCCGCAAAAGCUGCAUGAAAAGCUAGCAUAUAUUGUAGAGAGCUUAGCGAAAUUUCAUCGCUAUCUUUCCGAACAAUGCGUGUCAGAUCAGGGGAUCUUCAUCCAUCACACAGAGACAGAUUCCUACUUGUUCUGCAGGCGAAAACCAGCCCGCCAGUUCGGCGGCUUGGUUGGCAAGCCUGUUCUGCUAACAUGUGGAACUUUUGAUGAUCAAAAAGAGGCUCAAAUAUUUUUGAGUUUCAUCUCACAUUGUUCUCUUUUCGGUUUAGGCUGGCGAGACGAGUCUCACAUCGCCUGAUACUUUAAGUCUGAGCCUGACGAGAAUGUCAUGGCUUAAAGGGAGGGAGAUUAUGAGACCCCAUAUAAUUCUAUAUAUAGAAUAUAAUAGGACUAGAAUUUUUAAUCCGGCUUAAGCAUUUUGGAUGAUGGCUAGAUCCAAGAGGUUAAGAGAGUUAAGUAUAUUAGGACGGAAGUAGUCCUAGAAUGGGUGACUUUCUGGGAAGUUGGGGGCGCCACAGUGUACCGUCUCCACUAGCUGCCUUGCAGUGUUUUCAAGCCAAACUUUUCCGGCUGCAGCUUUACGAGCAGCAUGAACGACUCGGCGAUUGCAACCCCUGCAGCCAUAUAUAGCACCUUACAGUUUAUGGACCCAAGCCUGGUCAUUUGUGGUUGUCUCUUGUCACAAAGAUCGAAUGUCUUUCAGAACUCUGAUAGCUCGGGGAAUUCGAUUAGUAUUUUUUUAAAAAAGCCAUUAAAAUAAAUAGUUAUUUUAUAUGAUAUCAUAGCAAAAGAUUUUGAAUUUUUAAAUCUUGCUCAGCAUGCAUAGAAUGAAAAAGGUUCACUCCUCUAAUGUAGGUAAAUAUUCACAAUAAGUAGAAGGGUCAAUCGCAUGUUUAAUCCUCAAACUAUGAGGUGGGUGAUAUUUUAGCCCUCAAAUUUUAAUUUAUUGUAAUUUAUAUCUUAAACUUAUAAAAUUUAUUGCAAUUAAGUCUCACAACUCAAAUUUAGUUAACUAACUAUUGAUAUAUUACUGAUGAACAAGUGAUGUAAUAUUUUAAUUAUCAGCACAUCAUCAAUAAUAAUACUGUUACAUUACUUUUAUAUUAGCAAUACAUUAAUAUUUAGUAAACUAGGUUAGAUUAGAGAAUAAGUCUAAAAAUUCAAAUCAGAAAUUAUAAUAAAUUAAAGUUUGAGAACCAAAGUGUCACCCAUCUCAUAGUUUGAGGACCAAACAUGCAAUUUACCCACAAUAAAAUGUGCUAGCCUUUUCUGCAUACAUUUUCAUUGCAAAAUUGCACAAAUAUUACACGUAAAGCUGGUAUUUGCAUGCGUUCCCUCUAUAAUCUUUUCGAUGUGUUGCUAGUUCAAUGUUUUGAUAGGGUCGUGCAGUGCAAUUCAAUUGAUUUUUGUAUUUCAAUUGAUUUUUGUAUUGCAAUUCAGCGUCAAAGAACAUGUACUAGGGUGUAUGUGCGACUCGUUCAGAUCAUGAGUUCGAACAAAUGAGACAAUUUUUUUAGUAUCAAUGACCAGAAACAAUGAAUAGGAUAGAUAGAGAAGAUCAACCAUACACCCAUAUUGUAUAUAAAAUUUAUGGUUUCCACAUAAUCCGACUUAUUUGAAUGUAUAUUCUGAUUAUAAGCAGUAGCUUCUUCCAUCCGAAAGGAAAUUCACAUAUUAACCGAAACCGAAUCUCCGAAACUCGGUGCAGCAUUUGUAGAAAGAAAUGAGCCUUUAAUCAAUUAAUUCCUUAAUAACUUCACCAUCAAAGAGGAACAGCUUCUUAAAACUCCAGUAAGAGAACGGCCCAGUGUCAAUCUCAAACAACAUAUAAUAGCAUAGAAGUAAAACUCCAGUAGAAAAAAAUAAAAAAUAAAAAAAAGAAGCCAUUACAUAUUAGGGCGAAAGACGAGUGCAAGCGAGGAUAUAGACCAAACUGCCUUCUUAAUGUAAAACUGAUUACAAAAAGCGUAUUGUAUGGUUUCCAGUAUAGCUGAUUUAUUAGCACAUGCAUGAUUUAUUGCAUACUGUGAUGUUUGAUUCGUAUAAGAUCGCUUUGUACAGGAUUUGUGGAAGUAAAGCUCUAACCGGAGCCGUCGCUGCUUCCAAAGUUUGCAUUAGAUGGAGACCAUAGCCGUUUUGAAAAAAAAAGGACUCCUUCGAUCAUCUCUGAGACAUUUAUUCUUUAUUAUCCAUACGUGAAAGCGAGGAAGGAAACAUCGUUCCUCACAGUAAAAGACACUGCAGACGAAAAACAAAGACCAUUUAGUAGUUUAACCAGUCUCUUCAGUCUAACUGCAGAGGAGAACUAACCUCAGCUUAAAAUCAUGUAAAUAGGGAGGACAAAAAUGGCUGUUCAGAAAGAAAGGUUUAAAUGGAGCUGCUCUAGUCAGUCGUCUAUAAAGUAUAAACAGCAAAAAUAAACCAACAAAAAAGUCAAACUGUAUAACUUCAUCGCUUUAUCACUUUAUCCUUUUCAUAUGCUUAUUUGAAACGAAGGUGCGUCCGUCUUACUUUUCCUUUUUCAACUUGUCCUACUUUUUUAUAUUUCACCAUUUUUAAGUUUAGAUUAACCGAUUCCAACAUUCAAGUUGUUAAAGAAUCAAGUCUUGCAGCAUAAUAAUAAACUUUCUAGAACUUACAGAAGAAAGUGCUUCUGCAGAAAUACGGCGAGAAGGCAUUUGAUGUUAGUCCUUCAGUAUGCAAAACUUUUGCAGAGCGGACUUGAUGUCGUUCGAGCUGAAUCCCUCAGUCUGAACAAUGUUGGAGUUGUCGAAUGCUACAACAUCUUCUAAAGGAUAGGCCCUCGCAGCAUGCAGAUGGCUCGGGGCAUUAUUGAAUGAGCCCUUUAGUAUAAUGGUUUUGCGCACACCUCCAAGUAAUCCUUCAUAAUCCGUAUCACCACUUUCACCGACAAACACCACCAUAUUUGAUAGCUCCAAGCCCCACCUAAUAUACAAGUACCUGAAUAUAUAGCAGGACAGGGGAAAUAGAACUUAGGGAUAGCCUUAGCGCCACAUGUAGACAGACAUAUGAGGAAGAAUAUUGUGGGCAAAGAACUGUAGAAAAAACCAAGUAAAAAGUUUACGAGUAGCAAGAUUUUAGGGACUUAAUCUACAAUACCGAAAACUGUUGAACAAAAUCGAAAUCUGGAUCAAAUUUCAGGGGCUAAAAAUUUGUACUAAAACCAAGAAACUGAACAAGAUGGCAGCUUUUGUCAGAUAAAAGAAUUAGAUGAAAAAAAUAACGGGAUUAGUAUUCUCAUUGAAACCUUAGCGCCUGGGAUCGCGAAGCCAGAACAGGAAUGAAAUGAAGCUUGGUACCAUCAUGGCUAUAUAAGACAUGGCAGCGGAGUGCUUGAAUUCUCAUCAACUUCCGCAGUUCCUUCACAUGAGGUACCUACAACAAUUUGGCAAGAACAACAUAACCCAAGUUGGAUAACAACCAUACCAACUUUAAACAAUGUUUAGCCACAUAUCAAAAUAGCUCUGGAAAGUUGUGAUUAAAGUACUGCAGCACUUUUGAAAAGGAAAAUAACAACUUACACGUUGCGUGUUGAUCACUUUAAAAGCAAGGCAGAAAGUCGAAGAGCGCUCCUCGUCUUCGACAACAACUUUUUCUUCAUUUUCUCCCUUGUUUUCUACAAGUGAAGCAGCCCAACGAACUAAAGUCCUUCUUAAGCCUUCUCCUCCCCACCGGUACUCGAUUUGUGAGUGAUAAUCUAAAUCAAUUGUAAAUGGAAGCUCAGAUGGGCUAACCAUAUCCUCAGAGUUCGAAGAUGGGUAAUACAAGUCGCUGCCGCUAUUGCAGACAAAAGCAUCGAAAUCAGUAGGAAGCAAUCCUCUGGAGAUCAGCAAAGAGUGUAUCUCUGAUAUCGUCAGGCAAGUUGACAAUACGAAGCCAACAGAACCAGACGACCUUUCAGCACGUGUGGUCUCAAAGGCACUUUUAAUAAUCUCAAUCAGGUCUUCAUUACUAACAGAGUCCACAGCAAUAACAAAGAUAUGUUGCCUCCUCCUCAACAUUGGUAGCUUAUUAGAACCGCUCUGAUCAGCUUUCUCACUGGACCCAUCCUUUCUUGUGGCUCUCACGACACCCUUUUUGAGUUUCAUUAUGAGUUCAUUAGCACGGUUGUCCUCAGAAUCUAAUGUAUUCUCAAUGGUUCCACUAUCUUCAGCCUUUUCACCAUCUAAAGAAAGCCUUAAGUUGAGAGAGAUGUCUUGAAUGUCUCUCAAUGAGUUACCUGGUGAAUCUGAUUCUGAAUUCUCUGCAUUAUCUUCACUCUUCUUCCAUUGAGGAUGCCUUGGCCUCAGAACAGCUAUUUUUGACAAGUAGGUCUUGCAGUGCUCGGUCCAAGAGAAUAGGUGAAUAUUUUUCAAUCCAUUCUGACGACAUCUUGCCCAAAGCUGCUUGUCUGAAACAAGCUUAUAAAGUGCAUCAGCGAUUGCAUUCUGAUCGUGAGGAUCAACUAGGAUACCGUUGUCGAGUACCUGAAUAAAAAUUCAGCAUACAAAAGAUUCAGUUAUCCUAAGUGGAAAUAGAAAAUAAAUGCAAAUACUUUGUUUAAAGAGGAUGUGAAUCAUAUAAUAAACAAACCCGAUGUAUGUCAACAGGGCCUCCAUUCUUUGUGGCCACAAUAGGGAGACCGUGUGCUGCAGCCUACUUGACCAAAGAUAGUAGAGUAAGACAUUUUACAAUAGGUGCCAAGUAUAACACAAAUUUUUAGAUGUAGAGUACUGACCUCAAUCAAAGUGAGGCCAAAUGGCUCGAUGAAAGCCGGAUUUAUAAAAACACCCUGCAAAAGAAGCACAAACCAGUUGAUUGAUGCACAUAAAAACAGGUACAAGUAGGCACAACAUUUCUUUCGCUGUGUACUUCCAUUCAAAUUCUUUUCACCUGGUAGAUCAUUCCGUUCAAAGAAGUGCUCACAGCUAUCUAUUCACAUCUGGAACUCAUUAUCACCUCUAUCCUUUUUCCAUCACCACUUUAUUUAUAUCAAGGAAAAUGGAGGAAGAAUGAGAGGAAAUUAUUCUGGUCUAACAGCAGUAAGCCCUUAAAAAAAAUGAAAAAGAACCCUACCCUUUUCCAACCAUUAUGCAUUGAUCAAGAUAGUAAUUCUUAAAGACCAGCCAUUAUAGAAUAUGGUCAAACUAUUGAAACUGAGCUGAAACUACUAAAACAGACAUAGCUGAUAUACCUAAACCUCGGCCAAAGCAAAUCUGAAGCUUUGGCCCUUGGGCCACACAAUUCAUGCCACUUCUCAGAGAGUAAAUGGUAGCAAACCUUAUGUCAGCAGAAGUCGGUCUACAGUUUCCUUUCAUGUUUGUUCUGCCAUAUGUAAUGCAUAUUGCCUUUGUCCUUCUUUUUUCCCCCCCAAUAAUUUAUCUAAAUACUCAAACAUAUUAUAUGACUAUUGCCAGCUCACUCUACCUGUGCUUUGAUUAGCACAAAACAUGACAAACCCAUUUUUAGGCUCAACUUUGCAAUUUGACCAUCACAGAAGAAAUUGUACCUUCGUUCUUGCUGCCAAGCGAUAGAUAUCCGGAACGUCAGACUGUUUGUGGUGUUUGGGGUAUGCCACUUGACCAUACAGGUCAUACUUAUCAAUCAACUUAAGUAUUGUGGUCAAAACGGCUGAAUUUGUACUGGACAUCUCAUCAAUAUUAUCACGAUUGCCCAUUAUCAGUGUCUGCAGCAUCAAAGUUCCAAAUUAAUAGAAGAUAAAAGAGCAAAUAUGAAAUCUUUUCGAUUCAUGCUAACUAGACAGAUAUAGUGGGUUCAAGGUAAAAUGAAGCUAACUACUUAGCCAAUGUAAGCUUGUAAUUUAACUUACAAGAUUUGCAAGAUGCUGUAAGGGGCGGCAUUCACCAAAUGCCCUAACAAGUGUUGUGAGAUUCUUCUUGGGAUCUGGGCGGGCAAGAGCAAGUAUCAUGGGUUUACGAGGAUUUGUAAAGAACCUCAUUAUCUGUCAUUAAUUUUAUACGCACGUUAAUAAAUGACAAAAAGAAAGAGCAAUUAAUACAGUUCCUGACCAUAAAGAAUACUACCACUGUUUUCGAUGAUUUAGCAUGGAUAAUCAUGAUGUUUGAUAAAACAACAAGAAGCUGAAUAGCAGUGUGUGGACUGCAGGGGGGGCGGGGGAGGGGGGAAACGCUAUUUUGCUAUAGAUAUCUACACAGCAAAUAGCAAAACUUUAACUGAUUCCUCUAAAUAAAAAGUAAAGGAAGGAUCUAGAACCUCGGACCAAAUAGGUGGAUCUGAAGCUGAAACAUCUUCAGCUCCUUCUACAUCGCCAUCCGAAUCAACAUCGUGAACAACAAUGUGACUGAACUCCAUACCAGGAGGAAUUACCUGCAGAGUCCGGUAACGUGAAUUUUAUCUUAAGGCAUAAAAAUGCCACAAAAUAAACUUGAAUCACAUCCAAUAUAAUUGUAGGAUUUAUAUCCAAUACUUCCAGCAACCAAGACGAAAAUAAAAGAUGAAGCAUGCUUGUUUUCAUAUAACAGAAGCCAAGUUCAGGUUUUAUGCCCAGUUCCUUUAUUUAGUAAAAGUGUAGAAAGCCAGCAAUUGGCUCACUAGCCCAAAAACUGAGCUGAGUCUGCAAGGUUGAAGCCAUUUUCAGGAACAGGCUACAAUUUAAAAAAAAAUGAAAUAUUCCUGUCUUGGUGACUUCUGGCCAAACAAAAAACCAUGUCAAAAGUGAAAAGUCCAGUGAAAGUAAAAUUUCAUUGAAGUUCACUUUCAACUGACCAUCCUUGCAUCAGCAAACAAACAGCCUAAAAAGAUUUUGCAGACAAAUAAGUUCAUUCCAUGUUUUAGCAAUUAAGUUGAAAGAUAAAAUAUACUCACAGCUGUACGAGGCAUAUAGCGGCCAAAGCAACUCACACCCCGCUUGAUCCGAGCUCUUAAUUUCUUAGCAAGUAUCACGUCGAAACCAUCAUAUAAAUUCCACUGCUCCUCUACCUCCUGUCUAGUGCUUGUAAUAAUAAUCUCUGAUGCAUCUAAACACAGUUCUUCUCCUUCAAUUCUACGCAUUAUUUUAUACAUUGAAUUUAUUUCUUCCCUUGUUUGCCGCCCUUGUUUCAGAAGCUGUUCUAACUUAUCCCUCCCAAGAGAAUGUCCUGUGAAUACCAUUGGCACGUUGAGUGCCCCAGAUAGAAGCGCAGCAGAGUCCCCUGCAUCGGCGUAAUGCCCAUGAAUUACAACAGGCCAAAUAGGCUCCCCACCACCAAUUUGUUCGCCAAGAGCUUUGGAUAUUUGCAUUAUGUGGCCAAGAGCGCCGUCAACGAAUUCUUGAAUGUAUGGCCAGAGACGUUCUUUCGGGAUGUAUUUAUCUCUGGGUCCAAAUGGUAUGCGAAUUAUAUAAGCGCCGCCACUCUCUCCCAUCUCAUCAUGCAUGCAAUUUUCGGAGUUUCUUGGAGCCAACAUCUCGGUUGGCUCGCCGUAGCUCCAAUCAACAUCUGGCGCGGCGAUUUGCCUCGUAAGCAAAUCGACACGGUAAACCCCAGGAGUUGAGCCUAAAGCUCUAGCAAGUUCUACAACAUACUUGACCUGGAGAAAUGCAACAAGUAAGCAAAUCAAUGGGAGAGGAAAACACACACAUACACACACACACACAAGUGGCAUAAACCUUCAAAAGGAAAGGGUAGUAACUCAACUUUCUUAUCUAACAAAAGGGUAUGAUGAGGAAAAUUAUAUAUACAAGGUAAAAAAAAUUUGCUAAUAAUGAAUUUAUAUGUUUCUGUAGGUACAUAUCAGCACGGCAGAACUACCUGGCCACCAGUAUCAGAAUCCCGACCAAGCUCCAUGUUCUCACCACGUAUCAGACCAUGAAUGCUGCAUGCCGCAAUAUGAUUUGUUAGAAAGAAGAAAACAUAGAGAAGGAAUCAUGAAUAUUAGCAAUGAAAAGCAUAUAUCAACUUCACAGCUCAUUUUAUCAAUUUCAAUGACCUUAUUGCAGUAUGAUCAGCUUCAAUAUUGACAACUGUUAUCCCCAUAUAUAAAUUCACUCUGUUAGUUCAGUGAACGAAUACCUAAAAAAGUAAGGGAAAAUUCAUGUCCUUCCUGUAAAACUUCAUUGCAAUUAUCUAAGCUCUAGAACCCAAAACCAAAACAGUUUUGGAAUAUAGGAAAACACGACAAUCUACAAAUUCACUAUCACAUUGUCGACUCCAUGGCAUCACAUAUUAACCUUAAGGACUGCUAUAUUAAAUAUUCCUGAAUAUCCAACUGCAAAUAAUGACAGGACGUCCAGUGUACCGACGCCAAUCAUUGCUACGGUAAAAGAAGUUUCAUAAAAGUUCAAUAAAAUCUGAUUUAAAAUCUACAGAUGUCAAGCCUGUUCUUCCUAUUUAGUGGAAAGUCUGAAACAUGAAAAAGAAAGGAAAAAAAAAAAUGCAUGCUAAGAUGGAGUCAAGUAUUAUUAUUUGCAAAAAAAGAAUUAUAAAAGUAAAAGAUAAAUUUUAUGACAAGUUCCAUUUCAAAAGAUCCCGAACUGCCGGCUGUGAGCUAAAGAUAAGAUAUGCAUCGAAAAAAAAUGUGCAUCUUGGUAGAAAUGUCAACCGGGCAUUCAUGUAACUGGUAUGCAUGACUACUAGCCUGAAUAGGAGGGGAAAAUAAAAUGCCCCAACCCACACUCUCCCAGUAAAAAUAGGAAAAUACUAUAAUAAUCACUAGAAGUUUGGGCCCAUGCCUUAUCAAUACUAUAUACAUCUUUUUAUCCUUGUGCUGGCUAGCCAAAGCAUCAAAAGCAUCGACUGAGUUAAUCCUGGGCACUCGCCCUCUUGUGCUGUCACCAUGAGCAGAAAGAUCGCCCACAGCAUCUCCUUUCUCUCCCUCAGAGAGGUCUUCAGACAUAUCUGCAGUUGCCUCUCGGCGACCUUUCUCACGCUCAAGACGGCGUUUAGACAGACGCAAGGCUUCCUCUCCUUCAAUCUACAUUACAUGACCAUAAUGGAACAUGAUAAGCAAAAGAUGCAAUGCAACAACUAAUGAGCGUCACAUAAAAAUAGACAACAUAAAUCUCAAUAAAUUAAGAUGACACAUACUUCCUUUACUUCAACGAAGAGUUUCAUGUAUUCUAAAGCAUAAGUAUGGGGAAGUAACGCGUCAAUUGACUAUCUAAUUCGUCUUUUUCGCUAUUAAGGCAUAAGCAGUGUAUAUUUAUCUAGCGAUUACCGAUCACUAUAUAAGAGAUAGUGAUGCUUGCACACGUUGGCCAAAAGAUCGUAACUCCACUCGAGUUAACAAUAAAAUGAAGUAGCGUAUGCGUUCCUUUCCACGUAACCUCUCAGCUGGAAUUAUGGAAGAGCAGAGGCAACAACAGUAUGAAUCAGAAAACACAGAGUCUGCGGAGGCAAAGGUUCCAACUUGAUAGAAAAGCUAAUAUCUACUUCUUAUUGCCUCUAUGCUCAUUUAUAUCCUUGUCUCAGUGAGAUUAACAAAACAAUACUAAAAUAUCAAAAUUGUUCGCCACUCGCCUACCAUUAUUCUCCAUUCUCAUCUUCUUCAAUCCAAAACCAAGAACAAACAAAUAGAGUCGAUAAACUCUGCAACGCUAAAUGGGUAACAGAGAUACAGAUCGUAACUAUCCAUUAUAAUCACAUUACCUCUUCCAAUUCACUCACGCGAGGCAUAAAAGUAUCAGACGAUCACAACAUAAGCGAUCGUCACAACGUGAAUUCGCCCUCAAAAAUCAAAUUAAAACCGUAAACAUUAGAUAAAAAUCAGAAUUUAAAUUCGGAAUGGAAAACCCCCCCCACCUGCUUCUUCUUCCUCGUCAAGUUCCAAAUCCUCCAACACAUGUUCUCGAGCCUCGUGUUCCGCUCCUGCGGACUCCGCAUCGCCGCGGCCUAAAAUCACCAGAAAAUCACAGAAAAAUCACCAAAAAAUCCGAAAAAAAUCGGGGAAAAACAAACAAACAAAAAGAAGAAGAAAAAAGAGCUGCUACUCACGCGAACCCAGGUCUUGUAGAGAUCGGUCUCGUCGAAGCCGGUGAUGACCUCCUCGACGAAGUAGCGCGCGGGGCUGAACCUUCCGCGCUCCCUGAGGAGGAGCGAGGACUUGUCGGCGUCGAUCCCCUUCCCCACGUCGAGGAUCGCCUCCAAGUAGCUAUUCACCCAAUCGUUCCCCGCCAUUGUUGUAGCUCUUCCGAGAGAUAAUCCCCAGAGAGAAUCCCCAGAGAGAGAGAGAGAGAGAGAGAAGAGGCGACGAGGAGUGAGGGGCUCUUCUUCUUUGUCCAAGUAAAUUAGUUGUGUUGUAGAGAGAGAGAGAGAGAGAGAGGGGGUAUAAAUGAAACGGUGAGGGAUGUGGAGAGAGAAAGAGGAGAGAGAGAGAGAGAGAGAGAGAGAGGGUGAGGUGUGAGGGGAUCGAGAAGGGUCGUAAAUUGUAGAGAGAGAGAGAGAGAGAGAGAGAGAGAGAGAGAGAGAGUGAAAUGGAAGGAUUAGGAAUAUUUGCACCAAAAGUACGAGGGUUUAUUAAGAUUUAAAGAAAAGUCACUUUUUUUAUUUUAGCAUUUUAUAAUUUAAAAUAUAUUAUUUUUAGGGAUAACUUCAAAAACCCCGUGGUCUCGCACUUUCUAACUUUAGUACUCUGUGAUUUAAAGUGUAUUAAUUUGCUCCCCUAUGGUUUCGUUUUUUCCCUUUUUUUUUAUCAAUUUUAUUAUUUUUUUUUUCUAAAAUCAGUGACAAAAUUAAAAUUAAAGGGUACUAAAGUAAAUAUUCGGUAAAUCUCGAUGGGUACUUGAAGUUUUUUGUAUAUAAUUUAACGAAACAUUAAGAAAAAAGAUAUAGAAAAAAUAAAAAUAAAACCACAGGGGGCAAAUUGAUGCACUUUAAACCACGGAAUACUAAAGUGAGAAAGUGUGAAACCACAGAGGGGUUUUUGAAGUUUUCCCUUAUUUUUAUACUUUAUAAUUUUUUUUUAAUUUUCUUUAUUAUUUUUUUUUUGUUAAAUCAUCGAUAAAGUUAAAACUAAAAAACACUAAAAGUGAAGAGUUGAGCUAGAAUUAAUUAUGUAAAAUAUCAUAAUUAAUUUUUGCUGGCACAUUGCCGAACUCAAUUAUAAAAUAAUAAUAAAUUAUUAACUCAUUUAUCAUACCUUUCAUUUUUAUACUAUUUAUUUCUAUCAAAUAAAUAGUAGAAUUUAAAAAAAAAUUAAUUAUACAGCUAUACAAAUAAACAAUGAAAAAAAAAAAAUUUUAUCCAAACUAUCUGAAAGUCUGCUUCAACUUGAACUUACCCUAGGGACUGUAAAAUCUAAAGGAGAUAAUUUCAAAUAUAGCCGUAAAAUUUUAAAAUUUCCUCUUACUUUUUUUUAAAAUUUAAAAUAAUAUAUAUGAAUAGUAUUUAUUUUUGUAAGGAUGUUGAAAAUUGGUGGGGGAGGGGGGACUGUUAAGGAUAAGACAUAUUCUGAGGAUUAUGCUUUUGGUAUAUUAAAAAGAGAAAAAGAUGCCUCACUCUUUUAUUCCCUUCACAUUUUGUUUCAAAAGGAGGUUUAGUUGCAUUUGAUAAUACAAAGAGCUCUCAAUUUAAUUCGCUGUUUGUAGGUCAGUUCGUGUUUGACUCAAAAUUGAUUUGAAUUUAGCUGUUCCGUUUAAUAAACAAGUUGAUCGUGAGCUUAUUAUUUUCAGUUUGAAAAAUAAACGAGUUUGACUCAAUAUAAACAAAUAAUGUAUAUAAACAUUAUUUUCAAAUUGAUGUGUAGUAAACUUGAAUACUAUUUUUAUCUUUUUUUUUUUUUUUGUUAGCAUGAAUUUUAAUUUUAAUGCUAGUUAGUCAUUACUAAGAGCAAAAACAAAUAUCAACAAUUAUUAAUUAAUAAUAGUGGUAAUUAUAGUUAGUAGUAAUAUUUAAAGUUCAAACUCAACAACUUUAAUACUUUUUAUCAAAAAAGUGCUUCAAUAUUUUCCAAUUAACAAACUACAAAUGAUUAUAAGAACUUCCAUUGAAAAAUAUAUAUUAAUUUUUUAUUUUUGAAUUAUGGGUCUUAAAAAAAAGAUAAAAUGAUAAAAUUGCCCCCAGCUGGACCCCAAAACAUGGGACCUUAUAAAAGAGUCAAAUAACCAUCAAUCAAGUAACAUUAUUUUAUAAGCAAUCCCAUCUAAUUAUUAUAUAUAUAUAUAUAUAUGCCAAAAUAAUAAUAAUAAUAAUAAUCCCUUUUUAAAUCCCACCCAUGAUUUUGUGCCAACACAUAAGCUCAAAAGAGAACCAUCAAAAAGUAUUAAUAAAUAUAGCUAGUUUAUUAUUAUUAUUAUUAUAUAUUUUUUAAAAAGCCACAUAAGAGAUCUCCUUUUUAUAAAGCAAUGGGACAAGGGGCACACAAUAAGAGGGACAGGUGUUUAACUUUAGGGCACAUUAAUUAAAAAAAUAAUUAGUAGUAGGAGUGUGGCUAAUUAAGUCUUAAGAAUAGGAUUCACAAGCAAAAGAUUAUAUUUUUAUUUAUUUUUAGAAAGAAAAAGUAACUAUAUUUAUUAACCUAAUAAAAAAAGAAAAUGUUCAGAACCCCAUUAGUGCCAAAUAAUAAAUUUUGCAAAAUUUUAUAUAAUUAAUUUAUGUUUGGUCACAUUCUAUAUGGAUGGAGAAAAAAAAAAAAAGAAGUGAAAAAAAAAUAGAAAGAAAAUGAUCUUCUACAAUGGUUAAUAUUUUUUUUCUCUUUUAAUUUAUUUUUUUAUUUCAUUCUCUCAAUCCAAAUGAAGCAAUAAAUAAAAAAAUUAGCUACUUAAUAAAAUUAGCUUGAUAAUAAAACUAUUAAGAUAAUGGUCGAUUUGGCAUUAAAAAUCACUGAACGUCAUUAGAUCAAACAGAGUUAUGAUAAAAUAUAUAAAAAUAUGCUUCUUAAUUUUCUGGUAGGACGACGGAAAAUAUAUUAUAACAAAUUCAUUACGAUAUGCUAAAUAUAAUUUUAUACAAGAAAGCAAGUAAAGUAUUUUUAUUUAUAUUUUGUGACCACACGUAAUAUAAUUUCUCCUAAGUUUUUUUGGAUAUUGUAACCCCCUCCUUUUAGUGGGGAAUACCAUUGACCUUUCACAAUCAGUGAAGAAUAUAUAUACAAUAAAAAAAAUUUCCAUUUGCUAUUAAUGACCCUCUAUAGAGUAAGAGCCAAUUAGAAUAUUGGGUUAAUUUCAUACAGCUUCGUAUAAACAUAUGAAAUAACAAAUAUAUUUCUAUAAAGUUUAACUUUUCAUAUUUAUUUUUACAAAAGUCUAGUGAUAUUCAUAUUUGUCCUUCUGAUUUGUUAUCGUUAGAGCACUAUUUAUCUUUUAACGGAAGAUAAGUGGAAUGAUAUUUUUGCUAUCAUAAAUAUCUCCUUCCAAAAGACCCAACUGUUAGAAUUGUAUAGAAAUGUUCUUCAAAAAAAUUUUAAUGGUUAUUUUUUUUUACCAUCAUAAAUAACUUAUGAGGAAUAAAAUUAUCAAUUUACCUCAUUCACUAAUCAGAAUUAAGUAUUUUUAUUUAUGAUUAACUAUAUUUUUCUAACGGAUCCUAACAGUGGGGUGUAUAUUUGAAAACGCCAAGAUUUCUGUAAGAAUAAAUAUGAAAAAUUGAACAUUGUAGGGAUGCUGACAUUUGUUGAAAAAACAGAAAGGAAAAAGAAAGUGUAAAAAAUUAUUAUUACACUGAUAUUUUUCAUUCCCGAAGUAAAUUUCAUAGGUGAAGUAUUUAACCAACUAUUUGGUUCCUAAAAAAAAAAUAUAGAGAGAAAAUUUUCUAGAAAAAUAAAAAUAAAUCAGUUUUUUUUUUUUUUUUUCAAAAGUUUAUUUUUUUCAGAAUUUGUAGGAUACUAAUACUUUUGUUUUCCGAAAAAAAAAUCAAACAGUAAAAAAUAAUAGUUUUUCAUAAAAUUCGAGAAAAAAAAAGAACUAUUUUUUCUUGGAACCAAACUAGCAAAAAAAAAAAAAAAAAGUUUUUCAUAGAAUUUUUUUUUUUUUUUCAGUAUUGGCUAUUUUCCUCAUAGGUUCAAUUCAAAGGUCUAAUUUCUACAUAAAAAGAAAUAAAAUUAAAUUGAAAUAUGAUGAAAAAAAGUAAUAAUAAAUUUACAAUAUAUAUAGAUAGAUAGAUGCACUUGAUGGUAAUAAUUUGACCUCUUCUAAGAGCUUAGGGACCUCUGAUAAAAAUAAACCACAACAGUAACAAACAAGCCUUAAAUAAUACCACUUUUUCAAAAGUUGUGGGAUGACACUAUUUUUAUUUAUUUAUUUAUUUAUUUUUUGACAUUGUUGCUAUUUCCUUAAUUAUUGAUCAUGUCAAAAAAAAGUGUCAAAAAUUCAAAGCAUGCUCGGAGGAAUGCAAACUAGGCGGAUCUGGGAGCGGAAGCCCCGCCCCAACUAUCGAAAUCCCGUCCUAAGUCCCAUCCCAAAUUCGUGACAGGUUCAAAAAUAUAUUCUAUAAUUUGUUUCGCCUCAUAAUCCACCUCCCGCCAGCGCUCCGAAUCUACCCUGCCAAUUAAUAUUUUUUUUAAAAAAUUAUAAUAUUAUUAAUAUUUUGUAAAGUAUAAAUUAAUAAAUUUUUAAUAAUAAUGAAUAAUAUUACUAAGUUAUAUAUAAAAUUAACAACAUCAAUUAUAAAAAUAAAAAAUAUCAAUCACAACUCCAAACAAAAUUCAAAAGUUUCAAAUACAUGAAAAAUAAGAACACCAACUUAUUUGUAUUUUAGACUUUUUUUAAUAAGUAUAUUAUUUUUUAGGAAUAUUUUUUUAAAUAUAAAUGAUUUUUGGAGCAGGAGCGGGUCAUAGCGGGGCGGAUUCGGAGCGGGUCAAAAUUUUUUCGUUUCGGAUCAUAAAAAUUACCUCAUUUCCUACUCCAAAUUCAUUUAUUUCUUUUCGUUUACUGCCCUAUUCAAGACGGAUCAGGACAGGAGCUCCACCAACUCGGAUUCGUUUGUAUCCUACAUGUGGGGUGAAUUUUUAUUACCUUCAUUUUAAGAGAGUUACUUCCAAUUUGCCUUAAAAAUUUUCAUCAUCAAAAUUUGUGUUUUCAAAAAAGGUUUCUUUAACUGAAGAAUUAUGCUUUUGACUUCCUCGCAAACAAACAAGCCCUUAGUCUUUUCCAUUGCAUUGGAUUUUUAUUUUUUUGAAAUAAUUGUAAUAUGGAUAAAUUGCAUGUUUGAUGCUCAAGUGCUCAACCUAUGAGUCAUGAAACAUUCUCUUUCUCAAACUUUAAUGUAUUAUAAUUUUUAGCACGAACUUUUAAAAUUAUUGUAAUUAAGUCAUGAAGCUCAAUUCAGCUGCCUAAAUAUUAAUAUAUUGCUAAUUUAGAAAUGAUAUAGCAAUAUUGUGAUUAAUGAUACGUCAAUAAUUAAGAUAUCAUAUCACUUUAAUAUCAGCGAUGCGUUAAUAUUUAGUCAACUAAAUUGGACUGUAAAACAUCAUCAUAACAAUUCUUAAAAUUCGGGACAAAUUAUAAUAAAUUAAAGUUUGAGAACAAAAAUAUCACCUGACUUAUAAUUUGAGGAUAAAAUGUGCAACUGACCCUUGUAAUAUUUUAAAUAUCACUAAGUUCAAUUGAGAGCUUCAUGGUUUGUAGGAUUCUAGCCACCAAAAAAAAAAAAAAAAAAAAAAAAAGAAAAGUGGGCCCAGUUUUGCUCAUCCGGUGGAUCUGGCCAGGCAGUCCACAUAAUAUUCCUCAAAAUUUUCAAGAUACAGUCUUUAGAUCUUUUGAGAGUUUGUUACACACAACAAAUAUGUAACUUUUGCUUGGGAUACCCCUUAUGCGUCCCCCAAAGUGCUGCAGAUACGCCAGUAAUGCCAAAGAUUGCCUGCAUCGACCCGCCAACAUACAUUAUGCGUAAUUGCUAGCAUUUCAGCAGCCUUUAAUGAAACCUUUAAUAGUGCCUAUGACUCAUAAAUAAGUAAGACUCUGAUAUAAUUGUUAUGCAACUUCUAAAGUAUCGCCAAUGAUACGCAAUUGUCAGUACAUCAGUAAUCUAUGAGAAUGCUUCUCUCGAAUUCUUCUUAUACAGCCUCUAGAGUGCUUACUGAUGAUAAUAUCGGCGACGUUUGGAGCACGCGUGCAAACCAAUCAAUCGCCAGACAUUAUUGUCAGCACCGCAACAGUCUUUAAAGAAACCUUCGGUGGUAUCCGUAGGAAAGCGAGGGGCUUUUAAGAUGAAGUGAGACAAUAAGGUCGGUUUGUGUGGUCUCUUUCAAGGGCAUGCAUUUGCUUUCAUGAGUUAUCCAGAUUCCUCCACCAUUGACCUCAGAAAGAGGAUAGAGAGAAUAUCAUUGUGAUAAAUAAUAAAGAGAAUUUUAAACCAAUAUAUACAUAUAUAUAUAUAUAUAUAUAGAGAGAGAGAGAGAGAGAGCGCGCGCUAGGCUGGUAUACUAUCGGUAGCAUGAAGGCCUCCAUGCUAUCAAAAUAUUUUCAAUGAUGCGGCUUCCAAAUCGAUGAUCGGCUCCGUUAGACUUGAUCUAUAUUAUUAAAAGUAUUUGGAACUAAAUUUCAUAAUUUUUCGGCAUUAUUUACCUAUCAAACGAGUAGCCUAAAAAUAAACGGCUGAAAUUAAAAAUCUCAUAAAAAAUAAUGAUAAAAGACUUGAAUUUAAGAUCAGAGGACUGAUCUUACUCUAAAUAGUGAAAAAAAAAAUUUUAUAAAAAUUUCAUUAGAUUUGAAUUGUUUUACACCGUUAAAUUUACAAACGCAUCACAUCUAUCAUUAAAAUUGUCAAUUUUGAGACAUUUUGAUUACUAGCCAAAUGAUGCCGAAAAAUUAUAAAAUUUAGUUUCUAAAUAUUUUUAAUAAUGUAGAUCAAGUUUAACAGAGCCGAUCGUCGAUUUGGAAGCCGCAUCAUCGAAAACAACUUGGUAGCACGGAAGCCUCCGUGCUACCGAUAGUAUAGCAGCCGGACUAUAUAUAUAUAUAUAGAAUUAGGCUACUAUACUAUCUAUAAUACCGGAGCUUCGAUACUAUAGUCUUGUUUUCGAUUUUAGGAUAUUCAAAUUAACGAUCCAUACCGUUAAAUAUGAUCUAGAAUAUAUAAAGUUCUUAGGAAUAAAAUUUUAAUUUUUUUCGACAUCGUUUACUUACCAUUUUGGGUAAUUGAAGGUACAAUUAUCUUCAAUCGGAGGCAAUAGCAUUUUGGCCACUUUAGCCACCUUUUUUUUUUUUUUUUUUUCUUUUUCUUUUUCUCCUUUUAUCCAUAAUUUGAAAGAUACAUUAUUUUUUUUUGGGUAAAUUUCCCCUAUGGUCCGCAAACUAUGAGAUGGGUGAUAUUUCAGUUCUCAAUUUUUAAUUUAUUUAUUAUAAUUCCGACUCAAACUUUUAAAAUUAUUACAAUCAAAUCUCAUAACUCAAUUUAGUUAACUAAAUAUUAGACCCAACUACGUUGACUAAUUAUUAAGCUAUCGCUGAUAUAGAAAUGAUGUAGCAAUAUUGUGAUUGCUGACACGAUAAUAAUUAAAAUAUCACGUCACUAUUAUACUACCGAUGUACUAAUAUUUACUUAAAUAAAUUAUAUUAUAGGAUUUAAUUGCAAUAAUUCUAAAAGUCAAGCCAAAACCUAUAAUAAAUUAAAAAUUGAGUACUAAGAUAUCACCCGUCUUAUUAUAGUUUUGAGGGCCAAACAUGCAAUUUAUCCUUUUAUUUUUGUUCUCCCUUUUAACUCAUCUGAGUGUAAUAUAUCUAAAAAUUAAGAGGUUAAUUUAGAAAGAAAAUUACCUCAUUAUGCUUAUUUUAAUACAACGACUAGUACCGUAAUCAUUACCUAAUUAGUUAUUAUUCAAAAGGUCAGAAGUUUGAACCACUGUGAGCUUCUUUUCUUACACUUUUAGUUCUUUUCAUUUCUCUAUAGUCAUCAAUUCCUUGUGAUUGAGUAAAUGAGCUUUUCUAUUCUUAUUAACGUUAGUCGCGAACUUAUCUUAAACAAAUAAGGAAACAAAUAUGUACUAAAUAUUAAUUUUCCACUCUCUCACAGAGCCAAUUAAGUCAAAUAAUAUUUGAAUCAAAUAAAAUUAAGCAUAACCAAACAAGAUUUCAAGGUGCCACAUCCUUUUGUUUUUCUCACCAGCCACUUAAAUAGCUAUCAAUAACCUUUUUCUUUUGAACUACAUUAGGCCUUAUUAUUAAAAAAAAAAAAAAAAAAAAAAAAAAAAAAAAAAAAAAAACCACCUCUAUGUUUUUGCGCUUUAUCACUUUAAUGCCCUGUAAUUUUAUUUUUCUCUUUCUGUUAUCCCUUCUAUUAAUUUUUUUGUUAAAUCAGUAACAAGUUAAAACUACAAGGUACUAAAGUGAAAAUUCGAUAAACUAUAAUAAGAUGCUAAAGUGAAUAUUCGAUAAAUCAUAGGUGAGGUAUCUGAAGUUUUUUUUAUAUACAAAGAGUUAACGAAAAUAGAAAAAUGAAACCACAGGAUAUUAAAGUAAUACACUUUAAACCACAGGGUAUUAAAGUAAGAAACCGCGAAACUACUGAGGUGGUAUUUGAAAUUUACCCAAAAAAAAAGAAGAGAGAAUCAUGGGCCAAAAGAAGGAAGCAAAUUUCCUACAAACACGUGCAUAGGAUUCCCUACGCAUGGGGUUCAUCCGGCCGCUGAUUUUUAGUAUAAUUAAUCUACACUAUCUGAAAUAGACGGCGCAGAUUAACUCCGCUAAAAUCCAACAACCGGAUCAACUCCGUCCGUAGGAUUACGUAAAAAAUGGAAGAAAAAUUCCUACAACCCUAUGCUUAAGAUUCCUUACGCACGGGAUUCAUCCAGCCGCUGGUUUCUAGUAUAUUUACUCCACGCCGUUCGAUAUUAGACUACAUGGAUUAAUCCCGCUAAAAUCCAACGGCGGGAUCAACCCCGUGCGCAGCGAAUCCUACGCGUGGGGUUGUGCACAAUUUGAACCUCAAAAAUAAAAUAAAAAAUAAAAAUAAAAACAAUAAGAUAUCUAAGCAAUUAUGUUCAUUUGGCAGAAAAAAAGAGGGUUUGCACAUGUUAGGGCAAAUGUUGUAGGCACAGUUCACAUGGCAAUGUGGGAGCAUUAUUGCUGUUUUUUAAAAAAAGAGGAGUAAAAAACAAAAUUUCUGAUUUAUAGGUAUGACUGCUACCAAACCAUCUUUUUGUGUGUGUGUGUGUGUGUGUGUGUUCUUCUGCCAAAUUUUUCAUCAAAGCACGACGAAUUUUGAUAAUUCAAACUUGAUUCGAGACUCAGAACUGAAUCUUUGUAGGUGAUUGCAAGGUGAACUCGCGCAAAGUUGGCCAAGGUCAAAUGUGAUCUACAAUAUCUAAACAGACCUGACUGUAAAUCUUAUCUUAAAAAAAAUAAAAAUCAGAAAUUUUGGAUACUAAGAUUCUCAUAGACAGAGAAAUAACCUUGUUUAAAAAGGAUAAAACUCGAGAGUACUAGUAUUAUUUUUGUGUAUGAAAUCGAACUAUUGAAACAAAAUCUAAAAGAACUGUUUUUGGGAGAAAACUCAGAAUCAGUGGAAUUCACUAGUAUUGUUUGUUCUAACUCUUCUUCUGACGGUAUGCUUUUCAUCGAAGUCAUUCCUCCACUAUUUUCAGCAGUAAAACCAAUUUCUACGACCCGAAAGAUCUAUUUCUCAGGGAAUAUGUUAUUUUAGACAUGAUCAACUACUGAAACUUAUUUAAACGGUACAUUCACAUUUCUGGAAAUAAAACACCGAUAAAGAUAAAUGCACGGGGUACAGAAAACGCAUUUCCAGUUUCUCCAUACCUCAGAAGAAGAAGAAGCAGCCCUUUCGACAUUUGAUUAGUUCUCAGAGCGAAGCAACGAAGACGUCGCGUCUCUGGGAAUGAUGAUUCUUCUUCAGCCUCCUCCGUCGAGUGUUGCUCGCCCUGGUUAUUGUGGUAUGUUAAUUGAUCAACGAAUAGGGCAAUGGCACUUCGUGCGCUCAAGUAUUAAAAAAACAUAUAUGUACAUUUAUUUUUGAAUGGCAUGUAUUAUUCAACCCAACAGAUAAAUCAGUUCGACGAGAAAUGUUCGGAUCGUAAUGUUAGGUUCUCAAUGAGCGAUUACGACCUUCUCUGAAAUCAAAUCCCUCAUCACCACAUCCUAGAUUCCUGAUAAGAAGUGGCUUACUGUUGAAUAUGAAAAAAGCUUUCGACAGAACUUCAGGUUUCGAGCAAAUCGGUUUGGAAAAACAAGCAACAAAAAAGCCACCAGAAGAUGUAUUAUAGCUCUAGUUAGCUUAAAACUCCUAAAAAAACUGUAAACGAUUGCAAAUAUGAGUACGUAAAACUCACCAAUAUUGGUUGUGAAAUACGACGAAGUCGGUUGGUACUUGCUUUCCGUCAUCAUUUCUGUUCCAAUGGUACAAAGCAUGGGUUCUAUUCUUAAGCUCUAAUGUAGAAUGACCAUAACUUGCCUCCCUGAAUGCCGAAUAGUCGGGCUGUGGAUCGGAGAACCUGAACAAUGAAGAUUUAGAAAAGCAUCAUUACCAUAUGUGUCUAAAUUAUCGGCAAAAGAGAAAAGGAAAAAAAAAAAACAAAUACAAAGAGAGUUAGUAGUGGAUAUUUCCCUUACCGUAAAGCAAGGCCUUCCUGAUUCCCUCCAUCGCCGACAGUUACGUAAACAGGAGCGCAUUUGUCGGGCACAGGAUAACGAUUGCCCGAUGUUACGUUGUAGUUGAUGUUAGAGAUACGGUACUGUAAAAAAUGAUCCAUAUCGCAAUUAGACCCACAAAGAAAACAAGAUAACAGUGUUUACUUCCCGUAGGGGAUAUUAAAAUUCGUACUACUUGGAUCAUGCAUAUAUCCCUCCAUGUUGCAAUUUCACACACACAAGAAAAAAGAAAACCUUAACUUGGAGUAAUAAUAAUUCAUGAUCAAAAGUUACAAAACUAAUUCUUAAAAAUUCUAUCAGCGGCAUAUCGACUAAUAGGAACUGAUGAGUGAAUUACCGAUCUCUCGUAGGCGUGAACAUGGCCCGCAAAGACGAUGUCAACUUUAUAUUGUACAAACCAACUCUCAAACGCGGCCCGCAUACUCUCCCCUUCCAUGUAGUGAGCUUCGUUGCUGUUGUAGAGUGGCGCAUGCAUGAGCACAAUAAGCCACGGUGUCCGCUCCCUGUCCACUUGCUGCAGUUCCCCUUUAAGCCACCACCAUUGAGGAGUGUAUUUAACUGAUUCAAGGUCAUUCGUUUCAUUCAAUACAAAUGAGAGAAGAAGAAAAUGUUGGCAAAAAAAAAAAGAAGUACAACCUAAAAUGAAAAGCUUAGGCUUUAUCUGGUUAUUCUUACGCUUCUACUUCUUUUUUUUUCUAUAUUUUUGUAACUCGAAUUAUGUACAAUUUAAUGUGGGUUAGCUUGCAAACCCAUCCUCUUUUGAAACAAAUAAAGUAGCAAAGAAUAGUUACUACUGAGGCCUCAUUCGAUGUACAUUUUUACGUGUUUUCCUAAACUCAAAUUCUAUGUCAUUGAAAAAUAAAAAAGAUAACCAUGUAUAGAUUCGAGUGCGCAUUGGAUGGGCUUCUUUGUUCUUGUUAUUAUUGGUUAGCUUUUAACUCGGCUUUCUUAAAAAGACAAAGUAAGCGAAAGAAAAAUUAGGACUUCUCUGUUCUUGUUAUUUUUUCUUUUUUCUUUUCUUUUCUUUUUGGCCAAACAAAAAUAUAUAGAUUGAAAAAAACCUGCCACAAGCCAGUGGAUUCAAUCACGUACGAUUUGAGCUUUAAAAAACAAAAUAUAUGUGUAUCUAAAAUGAUUCUUUUUUUCCGUGCAUAGAAUGGAAAUAAUCUGGCAUCAAAUCACAUAGAAUUCAGUUAAAAAGAAAAAGAAAAAAACGUAAGCACAACUGAAGGAGCCCUAAGAAUACAGUUACCAUUUAAAACUAGAGAAAUUUUGAUUCGAUAUAUUCUUAUCUGUAGUAUCAAAAUAUAGUUUAUUCAAUUUGAGUAUGGAUCGACCUGAUGAAAUUGCUUACUGGCAAAGACAAAUAAAAAGCGGCGAUGUAUUACCAAAAGGAGAAUAGCUCGAAAGCACAAUGAUGUGGGCAGAUGCGCGCCUGACUGCAUACCACAUGGGAGAACUGCUCUUCGAAGCCAAGUAAGGAGUUGUAACUCGAUGUAAAUACGGUUUGAAAGUAGCAACUUCUCCCUGAUCAAAUCAAUAAACAGAAACGAAAAAAGGAAAGAUAUAAGAACAGAAUUUGGAAAAUUUUCCUAUUACAAUACAAGUUGUAAGCUGGAUAUCCGACUGGUUUGAUUUGGGCAAAAGCACGCGGACUAGUCAAGUUUUAGAAACAUGGUUUUUAAGAGCUAUAGUUCCCUAUCACAUUUUGAAAUAGCGAAUUGAAGCCUCCACACUCACUACAGAAAGUUGCUGGGUUAAUCUUAUAUCGACGAAUAAAUACAGAAGGCGGGCAUAAAGCGGAAGCAAACAUGACAAAGAAGUUACCAGUUCAGGUCUGUAUUCUAUUUCAUGAUUUCCAGCAGUCCAAAUCCACGGCUGAUACGCAGCGCUGCGUUCAAUAAACCGGCCCCAUGUAUCCCAGCGUAUACCAUCGUUGUGUUCGUAUCUAUCAGAAUAAGAUAGGUCUCCAACGAAUAGAACACUUUGUGCUCCGCUGUGCAUGUAGUGCUGAAGAGUGGAAAGAGAAUUAUACGUUUGCCCCAAAUCACCUAACAGCAUUUCAGUUAAAAAAUAUUAAUGAUUCAAGAACAGGGGGAAAAAAGUGAACUAAAAAUGAUGGAUGUAAUUCGAGGAAAGUGCGAAUCCAAGAAAAUAGACUUCAUCCAGUUCAUUUAGUUUAAAACUGUUGUGUUUAUAGACCAUUCAAUCCACAUAAGAUCAAAGUAUUCUAAACACUUCAUGACAAACGAUGUUGGCAAUCAAUUAAUUUGUUUAUAUAUUAGUAUUUCGCAGGUAUGAUUACGUAUAGCCCACGAUUAGUCGAUUUGAUGCAUCGUUAAGAAAUAUAUGAAAGCUUAGGUUCCGAGUGACCCCAAAUAUCAUGAAUAACUAGCCAAGGUGCAAUAUGCUGCCAGCUAACAUCCACCAACAAUUGAUCCCAGCCUUUACGUGACGUAAAAAGAUUUGCACCCCAUCUUUAUGUUAAAUUUAUUUGAUACUAGCAACAUAAGUUAGGAUCACAUCACUUUGAUCACGACUAGUGCGAGCAAAUGUAGCAAGGUGACUAGACACGAAUCCAUUCUUCAUGCUUAUAGUAUUUCGCAGGUAUGAUUACGUAUAGCCCACGAUUAGUCGAUUUGAUGCAUCAUUAAGAAAUAUAUGAAAGCUUAGGUUCCGAGUGACCCCAAAUAUCAUGAAUAACUAGCCAAGGUGCAAUAUGCUGCCAGCUAACAUCCACCAACAAUUGAUCCCAGCCUUUACGUGACGUAAAAAGAUUUGCACCCCAUCUUUAUGUUAAAUUUAUUUGAUACUAGCAACAUAAGUUAGGAUCACAUCACUUUGAUCACGACUAGUGCGAGCAAAUGUAGCAAGGUGACUAGACACGAAUCCAUUCUUCAUGCUUAUAUGCUUGAAUAUGGUGUUUGCAUGCGUAUGCGUGAAUGCAUAUAUAGAGGGGAAUUUUAUGUUGCAAAAGGUGGAAAACUAUGCUAACUUCAAAAGAUAGAGUACCGUUUCUUAAGCUUCUUAGAUAAACUGCGGGGUGGAAAAUUCACACACAAGAAAAAAAGAGUGAGGAAAGAGUUGACACACCUAUAAUACCAAAAGCAUAGGGAGCAUCUGGAUCAACAGCAGGUGGCGUUUGGAACCAAAAUUCCCGAGCUGAAUCACCUGUCCCGAUCUUGUAAUAGUACUUGGUGUCGUACUGAAAGGAGAAAUAGGAUUGUAAGAUUCAGGAACAAUGAAACAAACAGUUAAAAAACUAUUAGUAUUUAUAAGUAUUUAAUCAGUUACCUCAAGGUCAUCAACAAGGCAGUGGUGUAAGUAACCAGAUGUAUAAUCGUAAAAUGUAUAAUUUGUAUAUCUCCCUUGAGCCGUACGGUCAUAUUUAUGCUCUUCUUUACUAUAUAGAACUUCGCUUUUCCCGGGCUCAGAGGUUGUUACCCACGAGAUAACAACAGCUUUUCCAUCAUAGUCGCCCUGAGUGAUAUGGACCUAACCAUAAAAUCCGAACAGUGAGCAUGGGUUUCACCAUGGCUGAUGAAGGUAUUCGAAUAGCGGCAAAAGACAUAAUGCAAUGAGGGUGAAGGAAGGCUACACACUUAAGUACAGUUAGAGAAAACUUACAGGCCGUGAUUCACUAACAAUACAUCAGUUUGAGUUUAGAUAGAAAAAAAAUAAAAUAAAAUUCUCGAACAAAUUGGUGCUAAUAAAUUAUGCCCGCAUUCACGUCCCUAUCUUGUGGAAAAAGUUUUUUUUUUUGCAAUAUUUAUUAAACAAGAUAAAGUCAGUAUCUACACAUCCAACGACGAUCACAUCAAUACAAAAGUGAUAUUUAAUCAGAUAUAAAGAUAACCCUUUUAAGGUGCUUAAAUUAAUAAGUUGAUACGACAAAUACCUGUUCGGGUGCAUUAUAGCCCUUCGGAACUGCAAACACUUCACUGUCUAGAGGGAUGUCGGUAGAAGGCCAUUCAGAACGGACAAACGAACUUGUAUGCCUAGAAAUGACAAUGUCCACAAAGUACACAAGAUAAAGCGAAAAGCCAAGUAGGAUGCUUCGGAACUCCAUAGGAUUAGACAGUUAAUUUAACAUUUAACCUGUGACAACCAAACAGCAGUUUGCAUUACAUUAGUAAAGGACGAAUAUUAAUUAAAGAUAGAGUAUCGAGACCAUAGACAAAGAUAAGACAUUUGUUCAUCAAAAGGAAUCGCAAUCGAAGAUCAGGUCAAUACAUGCAGUUUGAUGUUUAUGAUCCAUUAAUGGCAAUACAAGAUAUCAAAAAUUUGGAAAUGGAAGUUCUAAGUACAUUCUACGGUAAUUUGAAUUGUUGUGAUUAACCUAAGAUUCUGCUCAAUUAACUGUUCAUGACCAAAGAGUGAAAAUGCCCAAGAAAUUUCCAAUUACUUCAACUCGAGAAAAUGAAAUGUCACAUGGGCUAAAGUAGCGACGAUGGAAAGGCAAAAUGAAAUGUAAAUUGACAUACAAGCCGAGGAAAACCGCAUAGUUUGAAAAACGAAUAACAAGUAAUCUCAAAUUAAGGGUGUGUUUGGUUGGCCGUAAAAUGUACUGAAAAUUAUUUUUCGGCUUGAAAAAUAUAUUUUCCGUGUGUUUGUUUAGCCGUAAAAUUUUCUUUUCGGAAAACUAUUUUUACAUAUUUGAGGAAAACGAAGUGUUUUUGUUUUUUGCUGAUUUUCAGUGGAAAACAAAAUUCAAGCUACGUAAAACUUUUUUCAUUUAUUUUUUUUUCCACUGAACCAAACAAAUGUAGAUUUUUUUUCCUUUCAACCAAACAAAUGUUGAUAGAAAAUUACUUUUUUUUUCCUACAAACCAAACACUACAAAACGUACCCACGGAAAACUAUUUUUCACAGUUUCCCGUACAACCAAACACCCCCUAAAGCUCAAUCAUUGUGGCGUCAGCAAUAUGGAGAGUAAACCAUUAUUUAUAGCAAACAUAUCACUUAAAAAGACGAGCACUUCAAAUUUCGAACUUCAAACUAGCUACCUUAGCAGAUUCUAUUGUGGAGAAGGUUUUUUCUUCUUUUUUGAGAAUGAAAUCAAAUGAUCGUCACCAUUCAUAAUACGGAAAAUCCUCGAAUCCAAUAAGAACAGCAAAUAAUCUUAAUUAUCAUACUACAACAAACAAAUUCAGCAAGAACUGCGACAAAAUAAACCUACAAUGAUUCAGCCCACCAAUCAAUAAAAUUUCGCAGUCCUAUUUGUCGGAGAAAAAUGGUAAUCAUCAAUUCUAAUAACAAUCAUAAUAAACAUCAUAUAAUCUAUAUGAUUCUAAUUGCGACGAAAAGGUACAGGGUCAUUAUCAUGGUGGGUUGGAUAAUUCCAUUUCCUUUGAACCCAAGGAUCCUCCAAGAUCAAAAUGGUUUGAUACCAACCAACCCAAUCAAUCACUUUCAUCAUUAUUAACAACAAUUCUGGUUGCCCAAAAAAACAAAAGCAAAGAAAAAUGGUGUUUUGAAAUCCUGAUUCCCAAAAAAAAAAAAAAACAUCUUUGAUCAAAAUUAAUUAUAAAAUUUGGAAAGGAAAAAAAAACCAAUCAAUCUCUUCAUCAAUCUUAACAACAUUUCUUGUUGGAAAAAAAAAAAAAAAACAGUAUGCAAAAUGGCGUUUUGGAACCCUAACUCCAAAGGGGGAAAAAAAACCAAUCUUUGAUUAAAAAAAAAAAAUAACCAUCAAAUUUGAAAAAACAACAAAAAAGAAAAAAACCUUAAUCAAUCUCUUCAUCAAUGUUAACAGCAUUUUUUUGUUGCAAAAAAAUACUAACCAAAAUGGUGUUUUGAAACCCAAAUUCCCAAGAAAAUUUUUUUGAUGAAAUUAACCAUAAAAUUUGGACAAAAAAAAGCCCAUUCAAUCGCUUCAUCAAUAUUAACAAAAUUUGUUGUUGCAAAAUUUUUUAAAAAAGAGAGAGAGAGAGUAAUGCACUAACCAAAAUGGCAUUUUGAAGCCCUAAUUCCCAAAAUAAAAACCCAAUUUUUGAUCAAAAUUAAUCAUAAAAUUUGGAAAAAAAGAAAAAAAAAAUCGAAACUUGAACGGAUUCGAGGGGGGUAGGUUCCUCACGCAGUGGGGACACGGCACGCAGUGGUGAGACGCGGCGUGCGCCGUCCAAGUGGCGGCGCCGCCCAAUCGGACGGCCGAGAUCGAGCCGCGGUGGAGAGAGGAGGAGAGGAGGAGGAGGAUGCUCCGUUUUUAUGCGGCUCUUUUAUGCGGCCUCACGUGGGAGAAAGAUUAGGGAGAGCCGUAGAAUCAAAGCGUGGGGACAAAAGAGAGGGUAGAAUCGGAAUAGUGGGAAAAUUGUAGGGGUACUUUGGGAAUUUUGGUGGUGAAAAGAGAGACUUUUUGGGUAAACAUUUAUGGUGACCACCCUCAACUAUAGGCAAAUUCAAAACAACUACCUCAACUUCUAAAUUCGUUCAUUUGAGUUGUUAGUGUUGAUCUAAAAUUUAAUAACCUACUAAUUAUUAAUUAGUUUAGUUUUAUUUGCUAAAAAAUAAUUAAAUUUAUUAAAUUUUAAAAAAAUCACUAACAAAUUUAAAAGAAUCUCCAAAAGUCUUAACUACACAUUAUAUGUUAAUAGUUUUUUUUGGGCUAAAUUACAUAAAACCCUCCUGUCUAAACCUGUUUUUUCACUUUUUCCUUCUGUCAUUUAAAAACCUACACUUUGACCCCUUAUAAAAUAAAAAAUAUUCACUUCGCCCCCUGCCGUUAGUAAUCCGUUAGGGUUCUGUUUAUAAAAUAUUAUUAUAUAUUUUUUUAUGCGAAAAAUGUCCUCAGCCUUUUCUCCUAUGAAUAUGAUGAGAGACAAAAUAGUGAGGGGCAAAAUAAUCAUUUUAUCAUCAUAAUUCACACCGUACCCUAUGUGAACAUUUUUUAUUUUACAAGGGGACAAAAUAUAGGUUUUUAAAUGACAGAAAAAAAUGGGGUUUUCGGUAAUUUAGCCUUUUUUUUUUAUUUCUCACAUUAUACUAUUUUUUCAAAGACAUUAAAAUAUCUUUUUCUUAUCAAUCUAUACACUAAACUUUAGAUUUGUUUUAUUUACUAUGCCGUAUUAUUUUUUUGACCUUACUAAACUACUAUUUUCUAGUUAGGGAUAACACUUAGGCGUGUUUGGUUCGAAGUCGGAAUCAGAAUCGGAAUCGAAAUCAAAAUAAGCUGGAAUCGGAAUCGGGAUGACUCAUUACCUAAUUUUGUUUGGUUCAUUACCUGAAUCGGAAUUGGAAUAAAUCAUUCCCAUUGUCGGUGUUUGGUUCAGGUGAAUAUAAAAAACGUAAUCAAAUUAAUAUACUAAUAUUAGCUUUAUAAUAUAUUAAUUUAAAUUCAAAUUAAAUAUUAAAUAUUAAAAAUUUACAUCAAAAUUUUGAAAUAAUGUCAAAAUUUUAAAUCUAUUUUUUUUAAAAAAAAUAAAAAUUUGAAGUUGAGUGGAUAAUUCAAAAUAUGAAACUAAAUUUUUGAUUUAUUCAAAUUCAAAAUAAAAAUUAAAAUUUAAUUUAAAUUCAAAUUCAUAAGUUAGAUUCGAAAUACUUGAUUAAAUUUUAAUUUUUAAUUUAAGUUCAAAUUAAAAUUUAAAAUUAUAUAUUUAAUUUUUAAAUUUUAACUCAUAUUUUAAUUAAAAAAGUUGAAAAAAUAAAUUUAAUCCGAAUAAAUAUUCAUUCCAUCCGGAUUCAACUUCCAAUCCGGCCUCCUAGCCGGAUUGAAAAAAGAGGUGAUUGGGGGAUUCCUAUUUCACUCGGGAAUCGGAAUCGGAAUGGGACUCCCGCGUUCCAAACACCCACAAACAAAUUUAUCUGUUCCGAUUCCGAUUCCAAGGUGAAAAAGAAGCGAACCAAACACGCCUGCAAUAUUAUUAAGAAAUUUAUUAUUUUACACGAAAACUCUCACUUCUAUAGAGAGAAUUGAGAGAAACUUGCUUAAUAGCACUUAAAAAAAAAAAGAAAAAGAAGACCUUUCAAGAUAAAUUUAUUAAAAGCUUAUAAAAAAGUAUUUCCCAGUAUUUUUCUACUAUUUCAAGCUUUUUAAAUUUUUAUCAAAAUAAACCGAAUAUAUAUCUCAGCAUUUGUAACCAAUACUUUUUAAAAUAUAGAGAUUGAUUUUUUUUAAAAAAAGAUACUUCUAGUAUCACUAAAAGAGUCGUGCUACCCAUACACCCCAUAUUGAGUUGUAGAUCCUACAACUCUUGAAUCCAACGUAUGAUAUAAAAUUUGAGGAGGCAAUUUCAUAAUAGCACAUAGUUGAGGGGUCUCUAUGCAUUUUUUACUGAAAAGUAUGUAUUGCUCAUGUUCUCUGAUUAUUAGGGGUGACACAUGCUUAACUCAAAUAAUAUGUUUUAUUAGUUUAGAAGAUUCAUGGUUUAAACGAAAGCAACCUCGCUCUCUCUGUCGUACAAUAUUUAUGAUUGCCAUAGAAUGCAUUCAAGUCAUUACAUUUAAGGGAAAAUUUCAAAAACCCCCUGUCGUUUCACAUUUUUUUAUUCUAGUAUCAUAUGGUUUAAAGUGAUUAAGUUAGUACCCUAUGGUUUCGCACUUUCUCACUUUAGUACCCUGUGAUUUAAAGUGUAUCUAAUUAGUACUCUGUGAUUUUAUUUUUGUAUCAAGUUAGUACCCUAUGGUUUUUAAACCACAGGAUACUAAAGUGAGAAAGUGUAAAACCACAUGGUACUAAAGUGAGAAAAUGCGAAAUCACAGGAUACUAAAUUGAUACACUUUAAACCACAGGGUACUAAAGUGAAAAAGUGCAAAACCAUAUGGUACUAACUUGGUACACUUUAAACCACAGGGUACCAAAGUGAGAACGAGUGAAACCACAAGGGGGUAUUUGAAGUUUUUUCUAUAUUUAAAUGUAUUAUAAGCAUUGCUGGACAUGGGGCUCAUCAUUGGGCAUUUGGGCUUCAACCUCUAGGCGGGGGCUUUUUUUGCAUUCGGCCCUUGAAAAAAAAUUAUUUUAAAAAUAACUCCAGCAAAUUUAUAUUUACAAAAAUGGUCAUAGCUCUACCACGCAGGCGCCACGUCAGUGCCACGUGAGCGUGCUGUGGCCGGUUUGUUAAGUUGAACACGAUGAAUCAUUUACCGUGUUUAGACACGGUGAAUGAUUUACCGUGUUUAGACACGGUGAAUGAUUUACCGUGUUUGAAGAAAAUAUAAUAUAUAUGUAUUGCGAAAAAAUAUAAGGAAAAUAUAUAGGAGUGCUUGAACACGGUGAAUGUGGAAUGAGAAGAAUAUAGGUAUGGAACAUGGUGAACCAUUCACCGUGUUUGAACACGGUGAAUGAUUCACCGUGUUUGGGAAAAAUAUAAUAUAUUGUAUUGCGAAAAAAUAUAAGAAAAGUAUAUGGGGGUGUUUAAACACGGUGAAUGAAGAAAGGAAUAUAGGUAUGGACCACAGUGAACCAUUCACUGUGUUUGAACAUAGUGAAUGAUUCACUGUAUUCAACUUAAAACCAUAGUGCUGAUGUGGCGCCUGCGUGGCGGGGAUAGGGCCAAAUUUGUAAUUAUAAAUUUGAUGGGGUUAUUUGUAAAAAAAAAAGUAUUUUGAGAGGGCCAAAUGCAAAAAAAAGCCCUCUAGGUGGGGUUGUCAGUGGAUACAGAUAUCUAAAAUUUUAUCAGAAUUUGAAUAUGAGUGAAGCAAGUUUAUUUGAAGCUAAAGGGAUAUGGUUUCGGAUACGGAUAUAAGAAAUAAAAAUCGGACGGAUUCGGGUUCGGAUAUAAAUUUUGUCUGAAUCUAUUAUGAACCCAAAUAACUUUUACAUUAUAUAAUAUAUAUGAAAAUUUAGUCUUAUAUCUGAAUUUGUACUUUGAUACUUAGAUUUUAAUAUAAUACGUUUGAAAUGCGGUAAAAAGACAUAAUUGUUUUAUAUUCGAUUUUGGAUGUGGAAUUUCAAAACUUGUCGGGUUCAGAUUUAAAUUUGGGUUUGGGGUUUGGUUGUCGGGUUCGGAUUCGGGUUUUUAAAACCUAGCCUGAAUCCGACCUGUUGACGCUCCUAACUUUUACUUUUUUUCAAGAAUAAAAAAGUACAGUUAAAACUAUAUGCAACGAAAUAAUAUUUUAUAUUAAAUCUCAAGCACUUCACCAUCCAAGUAAAUGGUGACCGAAAUAUGUUAUCGAAAUAUGUUAUAUGUACAUUCAAAAAUAAAUUCUAAAUAUUACAUCCAUCCAUCCUAAAAUAAAAUUAGUAGUUUUUGGAUGGAUAGUAUUCAAUUUAGGGUUAAUUACGCUAGUAGUCCCCAACCUUUUCAUCAAUUUUCACUUGGAUCCCUAACUUUUUUUUUUUGCAAUUAAAUCCUUAAUCUCUUGAUUUUAUUACAAUUAGGUCCCAACCGUUAAAAAAUCUAUUAAAAUUAACGGAAUCCUCACGUCAGCGCCUAUUUGGCAUCCUUUUGCAUGUUAAUUUAGGUUUCUAAACUUUGCACAUUUUUUACUUUAGUCUCUAAAAAUAAAAAUUCAAAAUUUUAAAUUUAAAAUCAAAAAUAAUAUUAAAAUUUUUUUGCAAUCCGCUGACACAACGCUACCGUGGUACUGACAUGGUCCCUCCGUGGCGCUGACAUGGUGCUGACGUGGGUAUUUUUCGUCAAUUUUAACACCUGUCUAACUGCUGGGACUUAAUUGAAAUGAAAUCAAGAGAUUAGAUACUCAAUUGCAAAAAAAAAAGGUUAGGGACCUAAGUGAAAAUUGGUGAAAAGGUUGGGGACUACUAGUGUAAUUAACCCUUAAAUUUAUACUGAUACUUUUAAGUGUACAGCUAGCAUUGUUCUGCUCGGCAGCGGAAAAUUGAUAUGGGACUAUGGUUAUACUCAAGAGGUUAGGAGGGUUAAGCGUGCUAGAAUUAGAAUAGUUCUAGGAUGGUUGAUUCUCUAAAAAGUGGGGCGUCACAGGUAAUAUUGGUUAAGCUCAGGAGGUUAAGACGGUUAAGUAUGUUAGAACUAGAGUAGCUCUAGAAUAGAUGAUCCUCUGGGAAGCGGGGCGUCAUAGUUAGUAUUAAAGCCAAUCGCCAGUAGGAAAUAUGAGAUGAUAUAACGGGCGGAGCCCGGCUCCCGGACUGAUGAUUGUUGUGGGUGGAGCGCCACUCUCCACAAGGUUGGCUAUGACUAGCAAGACUGAGAAGUGAGACAUCACAACUAAUCUAGUCCUAGACUCUCUCAAACUUUGGGCUUAGCUACUAUCCAAAAUACUAUAACUGAAUUAAGAUAUUUAACUAUACUAUACCUUAUAUAUGGAACUAUUCCAAAUCCCGAGGGUGUCACAUUUCCUCCUUUCCUCUUUAAGCUUUGAUGUUCUCAUCAAACUCACAAACACCAGAUGAUGUGAGACUCCUCUUGCUAGACUUAACGGAUCUUGUGGAAAACCACACUCUGCCCACAAUGACUGUCAGCCGAAAAACCGCGCUCUACCGGCUACAUGAUUUUACCUCAGCCGAAGAUCAUUUCACACUUCUAAUUGGUAAUUGACUCUGAUACUAAUUGUGACAGCCUAAACUACUCUUAAUUUUAGAGCAUGCUCAAAGCGAUUUUAAUUUUUCUCAGCCUUAUAAAGAAUUGGAGGUGCAUUUCAACAGUAUCAGACUAAUGCUUCUCCAAUGGCUGGGGUUCUAACCAUCAUUUUAUUUAGAAAAAAACUUCAAAUACAAUCCAUGUAGUUUCGCACUUUUCCACUUUAUUAUCAUGUGGUUUAAAGUGUAUCACUUUCAUACUCCGUGAUUUUAUUUUUCUCUUUUUAUUAUCCCUUCCACUAUAUUUUCGUUAAAUCAGUGACAAAGUUAAAACUAAAAGGUAUUAAAGUAAAUAUUCGAUAAAUUACAGGUGAGGUAUCUGAAAUUUUUUUGUAUAUAAUUUAAUAAAAAGUUACUGCUGACGAAAAGAGAAAAAUAAAACCACAGAGUACUAAAUUGAUAUACUUAAACCACAAGGUACUAAAAUGAGAAAGUGCGAAACCACGGGAUGGUAUUUGAAGUUUAUCCUUUUAUUUAUAAACUAUCAUAAUAUCAUCUAUCAUUUUAUUUGUAUCAAAGGAGAUAAAAAAAUCUAAAGUGCUUUAAUUUUUUUUUAAAAAAAAUCUUCCUAUAUCUAGGGCAGCAGAUAAGCUUCUUUUUUCUUUUCUUUUUUUUUUUUUUUUGCCUCAUUCCAAGCUUCUGGAAUAGAGUAGAACUGUUCAAAGGAGCACCAACAUUCUAUCAUCACAAAUUCAAAUACUAAAAUUCAAAUAACUAUUUCAAAAUUAUAAGUGUAUAAUUAGGUUAGAAUACUUUUGGAAGCUCAAAGAGAGUUUACUUUUGCAUUGCUUCCCUUAUAGAACAUCUGAACCAAUGAUUGAUAUAAAUAUAUUCUAAACUAUUUGAAGUUUCUAGGAGUGUAAUUUUAUGAUGUCAUUUUUCUGUUAUUCAAGUGGUUCAAAAUUUAACAACUUCGACUUAUAUAAUGUGAAUUUGACAUAACUAGAUCACUACGUAAACGAUGUCAUAAAAUCAUGAAAUUUGAUUUCUAUUAAGUACAAAUAGCCUAAAUUAUAUUUAAUGAUACCGAUCAUCCAUUUGGAUAUCUCAUUGCUGAAAACGACACUAAAGUAAACUCUCUUAUUUACUUCUAUAAGUAUUCUAGCCUGGCUCCAAAAAUAUUAUCAGCAUAAUAAAUAAAAAUUUCAAAAUAAACUCUUCCAUUUACUUCCAACAGGAAUGAUCAAUAUAGACAUUUAAUCUUCACCACAUUAUGGGCUAGUUUGGUUCACUUAUUUUCGACUAUAAAAUCGUAAUGAGAUUCAUUAACUCUGAUAGUUGUUUGUUUUAAAGAAAUUGAAUUCCGAUUCCCAUCCAGAGUGGAAUGAGACUUGAACCAAUUUAUUUAUGUCCCAAUCCGAUUUUGAAUUAUGUACUGACCCAUUCCAAAAUAAACCACUCAAAACCCUUCUCUCUCUUAACGAAAAUCCUAUUUCAAAAUCCUAAAUAUCCAUUCCGAUUUUCAUUCCAAUAACAAAUUAAACAUUUCUAGGUGCUUCGUCAUUCUAUUUCCUAUUCCAAUGCAAUCCAAUUUCAUUUCUCAUUCAUACUCCAAUCAUAAACCAAACAUACCCUACAAGUAAAGAGUAACAAAGCCAAACAAUUUCAACCUUGUAUAGCACAACUUGGAUGUUUAAUCGCAUGAGAAGUUAACUGAGAAAAUAAGAUGCAUUUCACCAUCAAUUCACUAAUAAACAACUCAUUACCUGAAAAUCUUCGAGCUUAUUCGGUACUCCAGGAUAUCACUCGACCGAAAGCUGAACUCACCUUAUACCCUAUAACCUCUCUUAAUAACUCUACUCUACACUGUGAAUCACCGCUGUAAGACAAAACAGAAAAUGGUUAUAUAGAAGAUGGUCCAGCCAAUAAGAUGUCGCAGCUGAUCAGUUAUUGCGUGGCGAUUGUAAAAUUGUAUCUCAAAUUCAUAUUAACUACAUAUAAUUUCCGUGGCAUCCGCUGAAAGGCUUACCAACAAGAAAAAAUAAUAGAAAAUUCGCAAGGUUUAUUAAGUCUGUAACUUACGGGCUCCAAAAGGAUCAAAAAACCUUCUCGGUCAAGAUUUCUCCCGCACGAAUAAUAAGACAAUCGGGCUCUUUGCUGAAUAAUGAAACAAUAAGGAAAAAAAAAAAGAUUAUUUGAUUACUAUUAGGGGGUUAUGUACUAACUGUUCCUACCAUGUUGCAGCAAUCAAUCUGCAGUAUCCAUUGGCUUUUUCCGAAAGAAGGCCUGGACCAAUGAAACCACUGCUAUCAGCGCAAUCUGAACAUGUUCCGAUGUGUUGGUCCUCACAGAAACCUGACCUAAUCUUCUACUAUUGAGAUUACCACUAAUAGAAACUUUUGAACCACGGCCAACUCGGAAAUCCGACUGAAAACUGCCGCCCAAAACCAUCUCUUUCUCAAAGGAGAGGAUGGUGCCCGCCAAAAUUACCUUCUCAUCCCUUACAGGAUAAUCUUUCCCCUUUAUUGUUGCCUCCAAACUUCCCCCGUACGCCACUUGACCGCCGCCCCCCAUCCGACCAGUGUUCAUUGUCAGCUUAAAUCUCUUUCCUAACGAAAUCGAGUCCUCAACUUUUGCCCCGAAGAAAUACAUAUCACCAAAUUUAGUAACGGAAAGCCCAGCUCCCAUUGUGUUGAAGGAUAAAUUGCGGAAUCUAGCAUCGCUACGAAGAGUGGAAACCAAUUCUUUACCGGCGGUUUGAAUGUCCAGUCCGCUGUGUAAGGAGUGGCCACUUGGGUCCAUGUAAUUUGCCGCACAUUCCGAUUGGAUAGUAAAAUCUUCUUUAUCCUUUCUCAUUUGUCCUGCGAGAGAAAUAUAAGUCCUUCUCUUUACAUCUCGAGAAAACUCUAUAUUGAUCCCGUCGAACCCAACAUCAUGAUCCCAUCCUUGAGGAUCCAAAACAGGCCUCGAAAGCCACUGAUCAUUACCUACUAAGCAGCGAUAUCUAUAGGCUGGAUUCUCAGAGUCAAAACUUUGAGCAAUUGCUAUAUCCAAUACUUGCAUAGCCUCUUCGGAAGGAUUCUCGUAAUCCUCACUGUCAUUUGAAGUAUCAUUAUUAUCCUGAACCAUGGCCAUCUUUUGCUUUCUAACUUCUUCUUUCCAUUGUUUCUUUAGAAAAAGAGUCUCGCGAUAGUCCAACUCAUCAAGAUAAGACUUUUUCUGAUUCUCAGAUAAUUUCUGGAAUUGGGUUUUGGUUAGUAUUCGAAUUGGAGGUAGCUGAUCGUAUUCAUCCUCAUCAUUAUCUGAGAGAUCAUCCAUUUCACUCUCCAUGCCCCCGGAAUUAGCUAAAGAAUGGGGCCUAAGGAGUGAAGAGAGGAGAUGGGGCAUCGAGGGCACUCUGUUGCUUGCUGGUGUUAAUUGAAAGCUAUCCUGAAAUUUUAGAAGAGAGUUCGCUUCGCCCAAUACCUUUGUAGCUGUACACAACAGCAAGAAUCUGGAAAUCCAAGCUUGGCCACUUCGGAGAACUUUUUCGCCUUUGUUGUUUGUUUUACACAUUGGAUGAUUCUCAACUAAUAUUACAGGAUUAUCAAGCUGAGUGCUAGAAACAGCUUGGUGUAUAUAAUGUUGAAUCAUGUUUGUCCAAUAGUGAACCAACGCUUCAUAAUUCACAGGAUAGCCGUCGGCCCCUUCAGGAAGAGGAGAGGAAGCAUGUGUCAUAACAAGAACAGUACUGAACCAGAUCGAAGAACCAAAGACUUCAGUUAUAAGCUUGAAAAGCGGAUAUUCAUUGUAAUUCCUGCCAGUGAGAUCUAGCCGCUCAAAAUAUAAAACAACAUCAGGCGGAGACUUUCGAAUGAAACUUCUAAUUUCUUGCAUGAUCUUCCUGUUUCUUCUUUGAUUACCAUGGGGAGGUGAAAGACCGGGUGUAUCAAUAACUGUGACAUUAAUUCCUUUAAUGUUUCCAGAAACUUCUUGGAUUUUGUCAGUGGAAGGUUGGAAUGGAUCAGUAAUUACCUUUUCCUGAUCAAAGAUUGCGUUUAUGGUUGCGCUCUUGCCCACACCAGUUUUGCCCAAUAAAAGAAUCUUGAUCGAAAAGUCGAGGGGGGGUCGAUUAGUUGCCUCCUGCUCUGCUGCUAUAGCCCUAGCUUUGUUGAUCUUAAGACAAGUCCUCUUUAUUUCUGAAUCAGUUGCUCGAAUUAAGCUAGCGAGGUGCAAUCUGUAUAGAACCUGUGCAACCACAUUAUUUUCGGGUGACUCUCCUAUUCUACGAACAAGGCGCAAGAACUUGAUUUGGAGAGACUCGACUCUUUUUAAAGGAUCUGCAUCCUUAUCAUCGCAUUCGUAUUGAGCAGGAUCAGAAGUUGAAGUCGAAACCAGCUGAGAAGAGGCUGAUAAUUCUGUUACUUGGUCAUAAUCGGAAUUAGCACUACUGGCAUAUCCUGUUCCCACCAUGUUAGUUCUCUCUACUGUACCUACAAAAGUCAAAGGAUCAUAAUUACUCAAGUUGCUUCAAGCCUCUAAUCUGGAGAUGGAGUCAUUGAGCAGAUCCAGCUCAUUCUCUUAAUAGAUAGUGGAUUUAGAAAGCAGGAACAGUACAACAAUUUUAUCACAACGUGAUAAUUAUAAAUUACAGGAAAAACAGAUUAAGAAAGAGAUCUUUUGUUAAAAGUAAUCAAUCAAAUUUCAACAAAAGAUUAGAAAAUAGUGACAAAGAGCAUUAGGUUUUGCACCAGUCACAAGAAGAGACAUUAUUGUAUUUCCGUGCCAAAAAAGCACCUGUGUAAGGGAACUAGGAGAAAUGAAUGGGAGAAAACAUAACAGAGGGUCAAAAUAAAGAAGGUUGACGGCUAGGACUGUCAUAUCGGUCCACAGGACAACUGUGGUGGGCAUUUGCCGACUUUGGUGUGUCCACAAUGUUGCAAGCUCAUACAUGCCUACGCAUAACAGUGCCUUUGUACUCAAUGAGUGUCAGCAUGUGCCAUGUUGAUCUCCGACGAGCACAGAAACAUGCUAGGGAAAGUAAAUCCAUGAUGGACAUACUUUGAAAUAGGAAAGCUGAUUUUCAUGCCCUUGUGAAAAAUAGAGGGAAAAAAACAGUAGUUUUCAUGUCAACGGAUUUAUCAAGAAUGACAUCCCGAGCUACAUUGCUAGCUAAUGAAUGCUCACUGUUUCAACAUGUUCAAAGCACGCAAAUUUGUCUUAGUUAUCUUUUCUCAAAAAAAAAAAAAAAGUGUCUUAGUCAUCACAACAUCAUUCCUCGUUAUGGACUAUUAGUUCAAACCUCCUAUCUUUCCUCCUUUCCUUUAAGUUAAAACAAGUGUGUUGCAAGUAGAGACCAAAAAUAGCUUCCAAGUUCCAAUAGAAACCGAGUAUGAUAAAUCAACAAGGAAAGUUAGUCCUAGAGCUAAUAAAGGAAAAGGAUUUAUAAAAGGAGGCAAAACUAAUGAGCUUAAGUUUGAUAUUAGGUUGUAAUUAAUUUUUCAACAGCCAAAACUAGGGUCAAUUUCCAAUAACAUUGAGUUCUUCUAAAAAUGCACCAAAACUAGCAAUAAGAAAAGACGAUGCAAAAUAUCCACAGAACGUCACGAAUUUUUUUGUGUAAUGGGAAUGACGAGAGACAUCAUGAUUUACAGCAGAAAUAUACUAUACCUUGAACUCCAGGUUCUCCAUUCGGAGAAUCCUCAUCAAAGAAGCUGAAAGGCCUCGCUGACAACAAUUUCUUAGAUACCAACCGGCAGAAAAGCCACUUCUUGAAAUCCAUGGUCCUACAUAAAAGAGCAAGAAAAAAUCAAUACACAUCCAGCGCAGUUCGAUAGCAACCAUAUGUUAGCGAGUAUCAACUAAGUUGGCGUUCGAUGAUGUCGAGAGUAACUUCAAAACAUAGAUUACAAAGCUCGUGGCAUAACUACAAAGCUCGUGGCAUAACUAUAAGGCCAUGAUGAUGAUAAUAAUGAUAAUGAUAAUAAAUAAUGAUAACAAUACUUUAUCUUAGUGUUCCGUCAACUGCUAUCUAAUUUCUACAAAAUGCCAUAUUUUUCUAGCAUUUACAGGAUAAACUGAACCGGAAAAUCGUUCCAGGAUUCCUCAAAUUAUCCAAUUGACAAAAUUCCCAUUUUCUCUAAUUUCUUCUUUCUCUUUAAAUACUUACAUAUCACCAAAUUCACAAUUGAUUCCGUAAAUAGAAGCAUGCGAACUACAUCAAAUACAAAGAAGAGAACGGACUUAUCAACUCUUCUGAUUCAUGAUUAGCUCGCACAGUCAUCUUCUUUUAAAAAAUAAAAGCUAAAAACAAAAAAGAAAAAAAAAAAACAACGCGUAAUCACCAGGGCACUCUAGCACAUAGAAUUUGAUUUUUUUUAUAAAAAAAAUAUAAGAAAAAACAAAAAGAAGUAUCAUACGAAGCCUAAAAUUACAAUCCCUACAAUAACAUGCUACUAAAUCUCUUCGAAUCCUUUCAAACUACUCUUUUUUGCCUUGAUUUGGCUUUUGAAUAACCAAAUUAAUCAACAAAUAAGGAGCGAACGCAGGAGAGGUUUCGACCCCAAUACCUAAUUCAAGAACGCCGCGUCCGAUUCUUCGGAUUCGCCGUGGGAACGGGGAGAUUGAAGCAUAAUAUUACAAUCUAAUUGGAGCAAUUAUUGGGCAAAUUAUAGGGGGGAUUCGAAGAUGGUGUGUGUGAGAGCGAGGGAGAGAGAGAGAAGAGAUUAGGGUUUCGUCUCCGUCCAAAGAUUGGGGAUUUGGUUUUCGCCUUCUUUUUGGGGAAAACUUCAAAAACCACCCCUGUGGUUUCGUACUUUCUCACUUUAGUACCCUGUGGUUUAAAACGUAUCAAUUUGCCCCCCUGUGGUUUCGUUUUUCUCUUUUUGUUAUCAAUUUUAUUAUUAUUUUUUUCUUAAAUCAGUGACAAAGUUAAAAUUAAAGGAUACUAAAGUGAAUAUUCGAUAAAUAUAGAUGGUUAUCUGAAGUUUUUUGUAUAUAAUUUAACGAAAUAUUAACGAAAAAGCUUCCGAAAAGAUAAAAAUGAAACCACAGGGGGGCAAAUUGAUACAUUUUAAACCACAGGGUACUAAAGUGAGAAUGCACGAAACCACAGGGGGGUUUUUGAAGUUUUCCCUUCUUUUUGUCCCGUUAGUAUUUUUUUUCUUUUUUUUUUCUUUUUUUUUUUUUCUAAUUAACGUUCUUUACUUCUUUUUCGACUUUGGUCGGAUAAAAAUAAAAUAAAGGGUUAAUUUCACUUAGGCCCCUACUAAUACAGUAAAUUGCAAACAUAUCCCUAUAAAAUUUAAUUUUUAUAUAUUGUUUUUGUAAAAAUUCGGAUAUUUUCAAAUAUAUCCCUGCCGUUAGAAACUAUUAAAAAAAAUUAGUUAAUCAUAGAUAACAUAUUUAACCCUAGUUAGUUAAUGAGGUGAAUUAAUUUUUUACUCAUUUUUAAUUAACAGUUGAAAUUUUUGGAGGGACAUAUUUGUGAUGAUAAAAAGGUUAUUUCACUAAUAAAAUAAAUAGUAUUUUAACGGUAACAAAUCAGAGAGAUAUAUUAGAAAAUAUUAGAAUUUUUUAUCGUCAUAUAUCAAAGUUGAACGUUGUAGGGAUAUAUUUGUAAUUUACUAUGUUUGCAGGGACUUAUAUGAAAUUAACCCUAAAAUAAAAUGAGGCCCUGUCCUGCAAACGGGUCGGAUUUUUCUUUUUCUAACCCGACCCUUUUCCACCCUUUAGAUCCGAAUCCAUUAAACUUUACAAAAUCGUGAGCAUCUCUCUCUCUCUCUCUCUCUCUCGCUCUCUUCUCGUUUCCUCCCCCGAGAAAUGACGAUGAAGAGGAGAUCCAUGGCGACCAUGGCCUACUCCUCCUCCUCCUCCCCCUUCCCCGCCACAGCACCUUCGCUUCUUCUCCUCCUCCUCUCUCUCAUCGCCCUCUCCUCUCUCCUCCCUCCCACUCUCGCCGCGCCAACCGGGUAGGUUUUUUCCCCCCCCUCCUUUUUUCCCCUUCUUUUUGCAUCCUUUUAAGCCCUGAUUGAUCCAUCCCCUCUUCCUCUAAGAUCAUCCGAUCAUAGUUGUUUUCCAACAUUUUUUUCUGUAUUUUUUCAGCCCUGGAGAGGGGUUUUCCGUCGCGGGUCGCGUGAAGUUGGAAGGUAUGCUACUUUUAAGUCGAUUUUGUGAUCCAAUUAAUAUUGAGAUCUGUAUCAUUUGAUUGUGAAAUUUUUGGAUAAAAAUGUACUGAGAUCCUCAGGGCCCUCCUAAACUUUGAUUUUUUUUUUUUUUGGUUUGAGUUAUUUUAAUUAGAUAAAUUUAGGAUUUUGUUAUGUUUGAUAGCUCUGUUAGUGAUUAGUUGUUAGUUGUUGCACUUUUAUUUGCUAUAAAGUAUUAAUGUCAUUAAAAUUACAGACCAACUGUUGGAUUUAGUGAAAAUCUCAAUUUGUUUGAUUGAAGUAUAAUUUAAACAAAGAUAUCAGGCAUUUCCAAAUUGCCUAUAGUUGAAGGGGCGUUCGUACCUUUUAAUCAUAGUUUCAAUGAGUGUUGGGUUCUGAUUGAUGAGAUCUGAGUAAUUGAAGUAUAUGUAAAAUUAUGAAUGUAAUUAGACUCUGUUAAAUAAUGUAGAAGUGAUGAACAUGAUUGAUAGCUGUUUGAAUAAUCAGAAGUUGGAUUUGAUGGUAGGCAAUGGAUUCUUGCAUUUCAUUUGGAGUGCUACUGAUCUCUUGUUAUUGUUUGUUAUUUGCCUUUUAGUCUUCUAUCGUGUUUAUGCUUCAUUUGCGAGCCCAAAACAAAAAAAAAAGGGAAUAGUUACUUUGUAAAAAGUUGUUUGAUGUUAUCAAUUUUUGAUUUGAUGAUAGGCAUGGGAUCUAAAGGCUUCGGUCUUCCAGCAAAGACAGCUAACACGAAGGUCAUACUGAAUGGUGGUCAAAGGGUCACAUUUGUUAGGCCAGAUGGUUACUUUGCAUUGUAUCCUAUUCCCCUUUUAAAUGGUUGCAACUUGCAUUUACUUCUCAAUGCAUGAAGUUUAGUUUUUCAGGUUUGUUUUUUCACAUCUUACUACCAAUUUGUUGUUAUAAUAGUUCUUUUUAGCUUAAGUAACUAAUAAAAUGGCAUUUGCUGCCUAAGGGUUAAAAAAAAAACAUGGUGUCUUAUGUGACCAUUAAGAAAAUUUCAUUGUAUAGAUGCAAUACUUGUCAGUUGUCUUGUUAGAUGCAUCGGGGCUCUGACAGCUUGAGAAAGACUGGUGGGGAAGAUGGAAAAGAAAGAAAAUUUAACAUUGACUUCAUUGCAACUGUGUAGAUGGCCUCGACAGCUUGACCUCACUAUUCAAGCGAUGUGCUUCCUAAUAUUGAUCGGCCCGCUAUAUUGCUAAUUUAAGUUUUUUGUUUUGUGCUCACCUAUGUGAUGCCUGUUCUUAUGGUUAAAGUGGCAUUUGAAAAUCAACUUUUGUAAGAUAAGAUGGCAGGGGCAGGUCCCUCUAGACUUGGUUUAACAACUUGGCAAUACAACGCACGGUUGGUUUAAGAGGUAGGUGUGGCUUUUGUAGAUUAAGAGUAGAUUGGUGGUAGUCAAUCUCAAGAUAUAUAGAAGCCAUGGUGGCUUCACACACAUCAUCUAUAAGUACCCUACUGUAAACCUUCAGUCCAAGUAUAAACUGUCACAUAUGGUCUUGGUUCAUGCUGUCACUUUAAACCAUGAUUGUUGGCUGUGCCUUGUUGGUAAUGCCAAAAAUCAUGAAAUUUAUCUAAGCAUUAAUUGUUCUAUUGAGAUGCUGGUCCAACCAAAUUUUUUGCUGCUUUGGGAGUUUCAACAUGGCUCUGGCUAGAGAUGUCAAGCACAUUCGCAUUCUUGUGCAUUAGCUUUCCAGCAUUAAUGCACUUGCUCAUUUGUUAAGCACAUUCUCUGGUAAGUCAACUUGAUAUUGAAAUAGUAAGUUGCUCUGGAUUUUACAAAAAAAUGCCUCAUUUUUACAGAGAGAGAGAGGGGGAGAAUUAGAGAGAGAGGGAGAUGAAUGGCUAAAAUGUUUUGCUCUCAUUAUACCCGAAAACUACGUAGGAAUGGGAUUGUUAUGUUGUAUUUUGUAAUACUACAAAAGCCAUCUAAACUGCUUUUCCAUGAAAAUAAUAAUAAUAAUAAAAUACAGCACUAGUCAAUAUACCUUGGGUUUAACAAAUACCCUACUUAUACAAGGUAACCAAACUGGGCUGUACUUUGAGGUGCAUGUUAUUAAUGUUAAUUUUUUUCCUCUUAACCAAGCAUGGAUUACAUUUGGCAUUAUUGAAUCAAAUAUCAGUCAGCUUCAUUGGGUUCUCAGCUCAAUUUAUAGUAGAGGAGCUAAAGACAAAUCAGUAGAUCAAAAUUGUUUUAUCAUUUUAUUGUCAAGACUUUAGACUUUUUCCUUGUCUAAAGGAUUUUUGGUCGGCUUCUCCUUCGUUCCACAAUUCACAUGGGCCUGAACUACAACUAAAAAAAGCACAUUGGUUUACUUGCCAAAUGCCCUUGAUUUGUUUUUCUUUCAGUGGCAAGUCCGCUAUUGUUUGAUUCUGCUCUGAAUGGAAUUUUGGCAACAAUAUUUUCAAGGUAAUUCAGGUUGACCCCCCAUAUUAAUAUCUGUCUGUUCUUUUAGUGCCUUCUCAUUUUCAAGCUGGUUAUAGCCUACACAUUAAGGUAAAUAAGAUGCUUGCCUGAUUACAAGGUUUUCCUGGUUAUAUAUUAUAAUUAUUAAAUAGCAAAGAAAAGAGAAUGGAUACUUCAUUUAAACUGGAUGCUUGAUAUGUAAAUUAUAAAACUGUCGGGGAUGUUUGCUUCUCAUGGAAUGUGGUACAACAUCCUGAUUUCAUUUUAAUCUAAUAGCUAAUUGAAAUUUAUUAGAGCAACAUGUUGUAGGACUACGAUAAAAAUGCUAGCACAUAAAAAAGGAAGUCCGGUGAGCAUAGAUGUAGCUAUUAAGCUUUGGGUCUUGCCAAUGUUGUGUUUGUAUAGUUCUUUUUUACUUAUUAAAGCUUUUCAUGCAGUUGGUUAUGCUGAAACCUCAAAUGCAAAAAGUUUGUUGGUAAAUAUGCAGUAGAUUUCAUUUAUCCACUAAUCAACAUAUAGAAUAUUUGCUUCCUUGAAAGUUUUUUUUAGCUGUGAGUCUAUCAGUAAUCUUUUAUGGACAUAUUGAUAUCGCAAUAUUUAAAUCAUGUAUCAAUCGUGUAUCUGAAUGGUUAGUGUGAUCUUUUUCUUAGUUGGCGAGAAUAAUCUCAGCCAAUUCUUUUGGUUCCUUGACCUACAAUGCUGAAGCCACAACGUGCCAGCUGGUACUCACUUAAUUGAAGUAGUGUCAUUGGGUUAUUUCUUUUCCCCUGUAAGUGUCUGACCUUGUUUUAUUGCAUUAGUGAUUGGAAUGUCAUAAAAAAUUUGCAACAUAACUUUCUUCCCCAUAUACCAGGUUCGUGUUGAUAUCAGUGCCAGAAACCCUGGAAAGGUUCAGGCAGCGCUGACGGAGAAUAGAAGACAUCUGAAUGAGCUUGUUUUCGAGCCUUUAAAAGAAGAGCAGUAUUAUGAGGUUGCAGAGUGUUCACUUUCAAGUUCCAUGAUUUGCAUCUCUUAUGUAACUCAAUAUAGCUUAACUUUUUUCUAAUUAUUUUGCAGAUGAGGGAGCCUUUCUCCAUUAUGUCUCUUUUGAAAAGUCCAAUGGGUAUGAUGCUGGGUUUCAUGCUGGUUGUGGUGUUCCUAAUGCCGAAGUUGAUGGAGAACAUAGGUAAUGUUACUGAACCUUCUACAACCGACAACUUUUAGAUCAUAAAACAUUAUUCCCGAUUACUUAGCACAACACACAACAUGAUUGUGAGUAUUCUGAUGAUAUGAUUAUGAUAUUUCCCCUCUGAACAAAUAGUAAGUAUCAUGCUAAAGUAUCAUGUGAACUUUGGUACUUGACUACACACAAUUACUCACCCGUUUGCAUAUAUUAGCCUAACAAGAUAAACGAUAAACCAUAGACUAGAUGAGCUAGAACUGACUAAAGAAUAAAAAUGGCCAAAGAAGAGAACUGAUUAACUUACAAAAGGAUAAAAAAAUAAUGAACCACUGCAAUAUAAAUAUUCCACUUGAAUCAUGAAGUUAAUAUGGUCCGCAAAAUAGGUAUAAUAACUUGCCCUGUUGUAUUAUCACGGAAAAGCUAGUGGUAUGGAAAUCACUUAUUAACCCCGAACAUGGCAAACAUCCUAUAGUUUUCUUCUGCUAAUGAAUUUUCUGUUUACUUACAAUGUUUCGAUUAAACUCAUUAUCGCAUAAUCUUUGCGAUUCAUCUGACCUAGUUACUGCUAAAACUUCAGUUACUAAUUCCAUCAUUUCGUCUGUUUCCUUAUUCCACAUAUUGCAGAAAUAUUUGGUAUUUUUCCGAUGGAAAUUUUGUUUUUGUCAUAAUUUAAGUGCAUCAUUCUACGCUAAUUAAGAUUAUAAAAUAUAUAUGUUUGCUACCAUGGGUAGCUAAGCUUGAUAACCAAUAGUUGAUCGACUGUAUCUAGAAAUUUCGGUCUAGUUUCACAGCAGAACUUUGCAAAGUUUUUCAGUUUGAGACACGUGGUUGGAAAAUAAAUACCAUUUAAUCAUACAAUGGGUUGCUCAUUUAAACUUUGUCGUCAUGGUUUUACACAUCACAACCAUCUUCGCCAGGGAGGUUUUCUACGUUCAACUUUCUCACUUUCGUCAGUUGAUUAAAUGCAAUACGUAACUUCGCUUGGUUUGAUAUUCAGAUCCGGAGGAACUUCGGCGCACCCAAGAGGAGAUGAGGGCCCAAGGAGUACCUUCUCUUUCCAGCUUGGUUGCGAGGAACACCUAGAUAUUAGGAUUCUCUUCGAGCAAGCUCUUACGGUGUCGAUGAGCAAGAAGAUCUACUCCGGCCCGAGGUUUCCACUCUCGCUGAGCUCGAAGCUUGAAUCUUUUAAGACUGCAGUUAAUUGUACUUCAUUUGUAUUAAAGAUUACGUGGCUCUGUGGUCACAAUACAAGGAUACUUCACAUCGAUUUUUGACGGAGCUGAACUAAUUUUGAUUGUUAAAAACUACAGGAACUGAGGAUUUAGAACAACCACUUUCCCCCGGAAAGGUAAUCAAUCAAGUUGUUGCUUCUUUUCUAAUUUUUUUUAGCAUAUGGUAUUAUUAUUCAUUCUAUUUUUAAAUUGUGUACAAUGUACAAAUUUUCUGCGACACAGUUUCCCUGGCACGAGCAAUUUUUAUGUAGUUUGGCCUUUUUUUUUUUUUUUUCUUGUUUUCUUUUUUAUUUGGUUGUGGGUGUGGAGUGUCGGUUUAAUUGCAGUGCCAAAAAGAAAAUUCUAGCGUUUUAGAUUUUAAAAUUUUCUAUCUGAAAAAUUAAAAUUUUGAAAAAUGGUGUUUUUUUUUUGUGGAAAACUUAUAUUUUUCAAAGAAGAGGAAGAAGAUUUUCAUAGUUUUCUGAUGAACCAAACACCCUGUAAGGGAUUAUGUUGUCUUGAAUUGAUUGAUUGGUCCACUCGUAAUUGUUUCUAUUCUAUCACUUGUUAUUGUUUCUAUCCACUGUACUAGCAUGUUAUUAAGAUGCUGAAGUUUAUUAAUGUUAGGGAUUUGAUCAGCAGCUGGGAUAUUUUUCUUUUUUCAUUUUUAAUAGAGAGAGCCUAGAACACUAUUAAUAGCAUUUUUAAUAGAGAGAGCCUAGAACACUAAAAAUUGCUGUAUAAAAUAAUUUUUCAUAUUUAGGUGUUUGUUUCAGUGAUCACCGCAAUUAAACAUGAUCUAGAAUGAUUGAGCUUUUUAGAUAUUGAGCUUUGUGAGUUUUUGAUGUAAAAAAUGGCAAUUUAAUCGUCUAUGUUUGGGUGUAUUUUUUUUGUUUAAUGGUGCUAGAAUUAUUAUUAUUAUUUUUUGAGAGAUAGGUAGUACGCUACUCGCUUCGUUUAUUUUAUUUAGAAAUAAACUUAGCUGGAAAGUGAAUCAACUAGGAUUUGAACUUGGAUCUCGGAUACCAACCACUAAGUCCUUUGCCACUUACUCUGGAGACGGUCGGUUAACGGUGUUAGAAUGAUCCAAAUCUGUCAGAUAUUGGAUGGAAUUUAUUUUUAAAUAUUUAGAAUAAGACCUACAACUCUGUUCUUGGAUUUAAGUUUCAUAUUUUCCAUUCUUAAAAGGUUGUUUAACUUUGAUUGUUAAAUUUUUGAUAAGGGGGUGUUUGGUUGUAUGUAAAAUCAUGAAAAUUACUUUUUUAUAGAAAAAAAGUGUUUAGUGGAAAAUAAGUUUUACGUUUUAUAGUAUUUGGUUUGUUUGAAAAAAAAAAAUAAUUUUUCAUCAUCAAUAUUUAUUUGGUUGAAAAUAAUAAUAAAAAAAAAUCCUUAUUUGUUUGGUUCUGUGGAAAAAAAAAAAUGAAUGGAAAAAAUUUUACACAGUUUGAUUUUUCGUUUUCGGUCGAAAAUAGGCCGAAAACGAAAACACUUCAUUUUUCUCAAAUAUAUAAAAAUAGUUUUUUUUUUUUAAAAUCCUUUUACAGAUAAACAAACACGCAAAAAAUAAUUAUUCAAGUCGAAAAGUAAUUUUCGGUACAUUUAAUGGCAAACUAAACACACCUUAAGUCGAUAAUUUAAAACUAAUUUUCAAAAAAUAUAUAUAUAAUUUAAUUUCUAAAAGUUUUGGAUUAAUCUACUGUGGGGAUUGAUAAAUGGAUUGUCUCAUCACCUCGUGUCUACAACUAUGCUAAAUAUACACCAAAAGAGAGAGAGAGAGAGAGAGAGAGAGAGAGAGAGAGAAAGAGUGGGAUUUACUCCAGAAAAAUAUUAUUUGCAUAUCCAAAAGUCAACUGUAAACGAAACUUUCGGAGAGGAAGGAAGUGGGGUGGAAGUAAACGAAAAUUUCGGAGAGGAAGGAAGUGGGGUGGGAGUGGAGAGAAGUUAUUUUCGCCGUAAACGAUUACUUCUGUUGUUUGAUUUGUCGUAAAAAAAUUACAGUCGAAACUUGAGUUAACCUGAAACGGCGCUGAUUUCGACCCACCGUGGGCCGAAAUCAAUUACGGUAAAAAAAAUUAAAAUAAAAUAAUAUACUAGAUUAAAUAAUUAUAUUUAAUUUAGUUAUGGUAUUAAUUGCUCUUUUAUUCAGUUGGCAUAUUUAAAAUACGAUAAAAAUUGAUUAGUUAAGUUUUAAUAUUUUUUUAUUUAGUUUGUAUAAUUAAAAUAUGAUAAAAAACAAUUAAUUAAGUAUUAAUAUUUUUUUACUUUAUAAUUUUAUUGUUGUAUUGCUAUAAUUUACAUAUAAACAAAUAGUAUAGUUGUUUUAAAUUAAAUUUUAAUUAUAUAAAAAUAUAAUUAUAUUAUUUUUAUUUAUUAAAUUAUUUAUUAUUUAUAUAUAAAUUAUAAUUUUAUAUCAUACACUUUCUACCAGAUAAUAAACAGUAGAACUGAUGAAACUUUACUUCUAUAACAGCCAAAAAAAAUAGCGGGAAAGAAAUAAUUUUUACUGAACUCUAUUUCAACUCAAAAUCUAUUUCAAUUCAAAAUUCAAUUCCGAUGAAACAAACAUGUCUAUGUCUAUCCAUACUGUCCAUUGAACCCUCCAAGAUAAAGAGCUUUCUAUGGGAAGAUAUCUUUGGGGCCCAUCCAAAGGCAAGGAACAAAAACAUUAGAUGAGAGAGAGAGAGAGAGAGAGAGAGAGAGAGAGAGAUAGGAAGAGGCCCAUCUCAUUCUUUUGCAUUGGAAAAGAUGAACCACAAAAUAUUGAUAUGCUUCCAAUAAAACUUUAGUCGAGAGCUCCCCAACAAACGUCUCAUUAGAAAGUUCUCGAUCGACUAUUACAUAUUAAUUUUGCCUCCGUCUGAUAACUUAUUGUCUCAUUAGAAAGUUCUCGAUCCACUGUUAUGUAUUAAUUUUGCCUCCGUCUGAUAACUUAUUGGAUGUUUUUUAAUACUAAAACUCAACCCGAAAAAAAAAAUACGCUCCCCAGAAAAAAAGAUUAUAAUUUUUAGAGAAAGAUAGAAGUGGCACACGGCGAUGAAUUAUAGCUCCUUAACCAGGCGUCAGUGAAGAGCUCCCCACUAUUAUUAUUAUUAUUAUUAUUAUUAUUAUUAUUAUUUAUUUUUGUAUAUUCCCCACCUCCUCCCUAAUAUUAUCCUACUAUUUAA
rnacentral:lncRNA from 1 species